rnacentral:lncRNA from 1 species
AGAAGGAGGGUGAGGCAGGUUUGUUUCCCCAAUUCUGCUGCCUUCGGCCUGCUCUGGGGGAGCAGGGUUGUUGCGGGUGUUGACCAUCCUAGGAAAACAAGACAAUGGUUUAGUCCAAAAUGAUAAGAUUCCGACAUAGAAUGUAGAAUGUAAUGGACAACUCAGAAUGCAAGAUGAUCAUCCGUAUGACAUGGUAGAUACAGAAACUACUUCUUUUAUUCCAUCGUCAUACACACCAUGCAAGGUUUAGUACAAGACCAAACAAAGUACUACUAUGGUGAAAAGAGGAUUACAUCUCAUCGGAGGCAUCCCAAGCUCCUAUACAUUAUUUUUCCUACACCCCCGGAAUUACUACACACUAAGUCAUAUUCCACAAGUCACGCAGGACAGUGCAAAUACAACUAUUACAAUACUAGUGGAACUACUACUAUCUCAGUCAUCUCCGUAGUAGUUCUCAUAGAAGUCUCCUCCAUAGCCUGGAAGUUCAACGUGAGCAUCCGGAAACAGACGGUCCUAAGGAGCCUGUGGACCAAAAGGGCUAGGGUGAGGUCUUGGACCAACAAACGGUGGCCUGCGGGGACCACGAGGUGGGGUGAUGCCUCCUACAUCACGCCAAUCCAUCAUGUCUGGCAAAGCAGAUCUAACAGGAUACAGAUCUCUCAUAUCCAUGUAUCCAUCUUGCACAGCCGGUGCAAACCGAGUCAAGGUGGCCCAAUGAUCAGCGCGGGUGUUGAAAAGCUCCAUUCUCAAGGCCCGAUUCUCUCGGUCCUUAUCCUCGAGCAACUCGGCAGUGGUGCGAGUUAGUGAGUCCUCCUGGCUGGAGUCAGCAUAGAUAGCCCGGAGAUAAUCGUGCGCUCCAGGAAGUGAAGCUGGCAUAUACCGGAAGUCGGUGUUGCGAAGCAGGCCAGUCCUGACUCGCAUGAUGGUCAUCAUAGAAUAAGCCGCAUCUUGCACGGUCAUCUCAAUAGUAACACCGAGCCCAUAGGAACAGUGGAGGGCCUCGGUAGAACCAGGAUAAGAGGGAAAUAUCCGGACGGUGCAAAGAUACUGGCUUUGAUUAAAAUCUCAAAACUGCUCUUCGACCGUGUAUUCGGGAUACCAACGGUAACCCGCCUCGAUCAUCACUCGGACUAACAUAGCCAUAUGACCGGUCACACCAAUGCAUCGGGUCAGGCGAACCACUUGAUUUUGGUCACGAGUGGCCAUCUGAAAGCACAACCAUAAUGCAAGGCAUUAGAAUUUCUAGCAAAAUUUCGACAGCAUAACGGCUGUAAAUGCUCAAGAGGGGUUUUGAGACAUUUAUCAAAGAAUUGCAUAGCCACUCAACAACAUCAUAUCAAGGUUCUGGGUCCAACUUAACAACAUAACAGGGUAGUAGAACUGAACUAGGCUUGUAGUCAUCAAACCUAUAAGGUACUACUGAUUAGUAACACGUGAACCUAAUAGAGAGAAGAGAUCCUAAUCCUUAACCCCCGGUAGAAGAAUGGACUGACUCAGAUCAGAAUGCCAUGGGGUAAAGAAGUAAAAAGAGCCUUACGUACCAUCCCACAAUCAAUUCCCCUACAUAUAACUAAAGCAUUUCUAGACUCAACAUCGACCAGUUUGGCUUGGAGAACCUACAGGCAGUCCGGCUCUGAUGCCAACGCUGUCAGGACCCUGACUCAAUGUCACAUCGAUCUAGCCCGUAACACCUCAUAUCAUUUUGUGGCCUCACGCACGGUAUCCCCACGGGUGUCGCCUUGCCUUUGCCCGGGACCGUUUGCGCCUUUUGGCUCACGUAUAUGAUAGUGUCGCUAGCAUCCAUAUGAUAAGGAGCCCGGGCUGACAUGACUAGUCGUAAACCCAAAGUGGCACAGACUUAUAGGGACAGGCAUCCAUGACCCAGCAUCGAACGUGUCGGUCAUCAGCAAGUGGGUCCGGGCUGUAGCACUGGGCUAGCAGGACUCUGGUAAACCGGGCUGUAGCGGGCUAACAGGACUCCGGUACUCAAUGCGUGACAUUUCCCCGAAGGGACAGACACAGGAACGAAGAAGGACACAUGCCGGCCAGCCUAAGUGUUCCGGAGCAGUAGCAAGCUACCAUGGCUCAGUGGAAACACUAGGAGAAAUUUCCCGGUAAGAGAGGCUACUAAAGAUAAACAACUAGAUAGUCAGAUCCCACACAUACCAAGCAUUUCAAUCAUACACACAAUAUGCUCGAUAUGCACAAAUACAACAAGGCAUCACAACAUGACUCUACGACACAAGUACUUUAUUUAAAGGCUCAGAGAGCCAUACAUAACAUACACACAAGUAUGGGUCACACGACCCACAUUCAAGUCAUACAAGCAUACAAGUCGACAGCGGAAGUAACUUGUCUGGGUACAGACAACUAGUAAAAUAAAAGAGGCUUGGGUGAGCCUAACUAUACUACAUGGUCCUUCACGUGCUCAGGAUCACCACCUGGGCCUUAGCCUACCCAUCGAUGUCAACGUCUACGAAGAACCCGUCGGAAGGGGUUGUAGCAUCUUCUGAAAUUAUAAAUUAAAGCAACAUGAGUACAAAGGUACUCAGCAAGACUUACAUCAGAUCCUACAUACAUGCUCAUUAUCAAGAAGGGUUGGUGGAGUUAUUGCAGCAAGCCAGCUUUGACUCUUGGCUAAGCUACCCUACGAGACUCCAACUUGAAAUGGUUUUGCACACACGAGUCCACUACUCACCACUUCAAUACACUACCGAGGAUCCACCUCCGUCUUCCUACGGAAGAGCCAUCCUCGGCACUCACGCUUAUCUUGAGGCUUUUAGUAGUUUCCAUUUACUUGUCUAUGAACUGUAUAGGCAACCAAGUAGUCCUUUACCGCGGACGCGGCUAUUCGAAUAGAUUAGAUUAACCCUGCAGGGGUGUACUUCUUCAUACACGCUCUCACCACUUACCGCCGUUUACACGACAUGUACUCGGCAACCUUCAAGCGGAAGCCCAACGUGGGUGUCGGCCACGACCUACCUAAUCACCUAAGUCUCUAGUCCAGGUUUAUCGCCUAUUCGGGUUCCAUCCAUGAGGAGAUCCGGCCGGGGUUUCGCUCACAGCCCCAAAUGAUGUGAACAGGGUUCCCGAGAUGCCUAACAGGCAACCGGUACACCAUGCCACGUACCUACCGCAUCACAGCCCACCCCUACGGUCAGCGCUGUCCAGGGCCUCCAGUAGGCUACAACCACCAGAAACUACUUGCAACUCCUGGAUAGAGGACUAGGGUGAAUAAGAAGUCGAGAGGGUCCAUUGGUUUCGGGCCCAAUGCAUGGUAGUAGCUGAAUCUUAAAUCACACAUACAGAUCUCAGUGCUUAAGGACGGUUUCAAUGAAACAACCCACCGUGUACUCCUACAUGGCCUCUCAUCGAUACCUUUACCAAAUCGUGUUCAACACAUUACUCUCAUACCGACACGAGUAUUUCACUCCAGCCCAUCACCCAGAUGAACCAGACCUGACACAACUCUAAGCAUAGCAGGCAUAGCAAGGUAGGAACAACACACAUACUUGGCUCAAUCAACUCCUACACAUGCUAGUGGGUUUCAUCUAGUUACUGUGGCAAUGACAAGUCAUGCAGAGGAAAAGGGUUCAACUACCGCAGCACACAGCAGUUUGAAUCGCGUUGUCUUAAUGCAGUAAAAGAGAGCAGAAGCAAGAACAUGGGAUUGUAUCGAUAUGAUCAAAUGGUUGGUUGCUUGCCUGAUGGGUCGGUGCACUGGUAUUGCUCUUCGUUGGGGAAAUCACGGUACUCCUCGGGGCAGAACCUGCCGCAGAGAACACCGAUACACAAACAUCACCAAACAAUAUGCAACAAUAUGAUGCAUGCAGGAGACAUGGCAAAUAUGAGUGUGUUGGGCUAAUGCAACUAAGACCAGAUGGGUUUGAACCAUUUUGAACCAAAGAUUCAAUUUCCAAACACAUUUGUGAUCUUAAAUAGUGCUUUAUCAUGUUUUGCACUAAACAGCAAGUUAACUUGUUUAAACAUGCAUGAAAACAGUACAGAUGGAUAGAUUGGAUUUUUUUGAUCAUUUUUCAUAUAUAAUUUGUUUGAUUUGUAUCUAUGGUUGAAUUUAUAUGAAUUUUUGAAGCUUGAACUAAAUUCUAGAAUUUCCUGAAUAAAAAUAAAUCCAGGAAUUAAUUUACUGCGUCAGCAAUGCGUCAGGAUGACGUCAUAGUCAACGGAGACGUCCAGGUCAAACCUGACUGUGGGUCCAGGGUGUCAGUGCAAUUAGUUUAGCUAAAAAUUAAUUAAAACUAAUUCGGAUUAGUUAACAGGGCUGGGCCCCACCUGUCAUUGACUCAACAGAGUCAACCAGGGCCCACCUGUGGUCAAAGUCAAAGUCAGCUGCACCGGCGUUUAGCCGCCGGCGAGCCCGACGCGGCGGCGGAAGUGGUUUUGGCCAUUCCGGCCACCAAAUGGGACGCGGAAGGCAUCAACAUGGAGCUGGGGACAAACCGCGGCUCUUGGUGGAGUCAGUUGGGGUCGGGGUUGCCGGAGUUGGCGCCGGUGACGACCUAAGCGGCCGCUAGAGUUCGGGUGGAGGCGACUCGAGCUAGGGUGUGCGGUGAGGUGCGGGGAGUGCAUGGUUGGACCCAACGCAGCGUGGUGAGUGCGAUGGACACCGAGAGGUGGCCGGAGGAUGGCCGGGAGCACGUCGGUGACGAGAUCCGCGGCGGUGCGUGGGGGUGAUCUUCGUGCGGUUGCUACACAGCUCGGGGGCGAGAGAGGAAGGGUAGGAGGGGUAGCUAGGCUCACAGAGCACUCGUAGAGGCAACCGGCGAGGUCGGGGACGAACUGGUGCGGCGACGGCGUUGAAAGGGAUCUCCGGCGAGGGCGGACUCGGGCGAGGUCGGUGCGGUGGACUCCGGCCACACGAGCACGUGGGGCUCGGUUAGCUCGACGAAGAGGACGGCGGCGGAGCUCCUGGACACGACGAGACGGAGCACGGGCGGCGGGGAGCACGGCUACGAUGAUGGAGCGGCGGCGGUGGCGUCGGCCAUGGCUGGGGAGCGCAAGGGGGAGGAGCUGGAGAGGAGAGGAGGUGUCUGGGGGGUCCGGGGGAGAGAGGGGGAUCAAUCCUCGUCGUGGCGUGAUGAGGGAAGCGGCGAGGCGGCGACCAAGUGCGUGGCACCCAUGCGGUGCUCGCCGCCGAGCACCUUGCCUGCCUGCCUGGCCGAGCCAAGCAGCUCGCUGGCGCGGCAGCUGGGCUGGGCCGGCAGGUGGGCCGGUUAGUAGGCGCCAGGUAAGUUUCCUUUCUGUUUUUCUUUUUCUAUUUUUCUGCAACUUUGUUGAAUUUUUAAAAAUACUUAAACAGUUCCAAAAUUCACCAAACUGCUCCUGGUCCAUAGUUGGAAUAUUUCCAACAUGAAACAUUUUAGGUUGGGAAUAUUUGAGCAUUUGAAAUAUUUUAUAUAAUUUUAAAUGCCCAAAUUCAAAUACUUAUGGUUUAGUUCAAAGACCCUAAGAUGACCUAGGAAAUUGUGCAUCACUUUUGGCAGAGGUUCUGAUCCAAGACAAAAAUGAUGGACAUUUUAGAAGGGCAUUUUAGGUUCAUUGAAAAAGUUUUUUGGUAAACCCUAGUUGGUUUCAGAGGGGGCUGGGGGUUCUGUCAUCCCCAUUUCAGGUUUUUGUUGAAAAAUAAACAUGAUGCAACACUCUAAUGCAUGAACUAGCUAGGGUGUGACACCCGCCGCCCGAGGUGCCUCAAUUUCCGCGCUGCCGGUUUUCUCGAAAAACCGUUCGGUUUUUCCGUCGGUUUUUCGCCGUUUUUUUAUUAUUUCCGUUUUUUAGAUCAUUUUUUUUCGGUUCGGUUAAAUAGCGAGCAUUCGCUCAUUCGUUUGUUUUAACGAACGUGUUCGUCGAUUAGACCCAAUUAACGAACGUUCGUUCGUUAAGCUGUUCGUCGUUUUUCUUUUUCUCGUAUUUAUUCCGCGAUUUUUCUGAUCGCGAUUUCUGAUCCGAUUUUCGUUUUAGUAUAACUUUUCGCUCGUUUACCGGAAUCAGGCGAUUCAAGCACGUGGAGUUUUGUCUCAAACCCCUCUUUCCGAAUAACCAACUUAAACAAGUUUUUGCCUUUGUAAAAUUUGACUUAGAUCCAGAUUAGUAAAACGGAGCUGUUUUAUUUCGCUGUUUGACUUCCGUUGCUUUGUUUGAUUGGAUUCUUUUUGCACACCGGAGUUCUUAAGUUGAACUUUCUGGUUAGAUCUUUUAUUCGAGUUUUACCUGUGCAUUAGAUGAGUACUUAUUGUAUGCUUGUUUGUUUGUCUGCGAUAGAAUACCCGGAGUGCGCCGCCUGUUACUUCGAGUCUCUAGGUUUCGUGGAUCCUCAGCAAGGCAAGUAACACUUUUAUCAUACCUUUUCUCAUACCCAGUUUUUAUGCAUUAGAUCAAUCCUCAAACAUUGCAUGUUUAGGACCUAAUUAAAUUGUGGGUUUUGGGAAGUAGUUGAGGUAGUACCUAUUACUUGUUUUAUUUUCAAACCUUUGGGAGUUACUUCUACGUUUGUUUAUUAUGCCAUGCUAUGCUAGUAGACGUGGAUUGGGUGAGUGUAUCCAUGACAGAUGCGAGUUUUUUAAUUAAUGGUUUACUUAAGGUGGCAACUUAAACACACAUCUGGGUGGAUUGAGGUACCUGGUUUCGAGGAUUUCCCUGUUUUUUCUUCGGACCGCCACCCAGGCUCAAAGGGAUCAUAAGAUUAUUCAUGCUAGAAACUUCUGUGUGCAGCCACAUGCUAUUAUGGGCUCUAGCAUAGUUGACUAAGUCGUGCAAACUCUUACAGUGGUAGACUAGCUGAUGUAGGGGAUGUAGGUUGGUACGGUCUACCCGUUCGUAAGGUGCAAGCGCUUCUGAAAGACUAUGUCUCGGUCAUCCGUUUCUCAAACACCAUGUAGUGCGAGAAUCCAAAAGGAGGAGAUCAAGUCAUGUGGGGAAAAGUGCGCAAACCUCUGCAGAGUGUAACAAACUAAUCAUGGUUAGCCGUGUCCCCGGUUAUGGACAUCUUGAGUAUCUAGUACUUGGAUAUCAUGUGAAUCUCGUCAUGUUACUCUAAUUAAUAUUGUUGGGUUGUUAAUGAUUACUUUUAAUUGGGAUUGAGAAUGUUGUCAACCAUUCUCAAUGUUUAACAACCACCAUGAUAGUUAAAUAAAUUUAUUACUUUGCAGUAGGAAAAAAAUUGGCUUUACGCAAAACUGUAACGACAGAGCUUUCCACCAGCCAAAUAUGCAUGUAGUAUAGCUUAUUCCAUUAUUAUUCUCUAUGUGUUACAUUGCCAGCAUAUUCCAUGUGCUGACCCGUUUUCGGGCUGCAACAUUUCAUGUUGUAGACUUUUCAGACGACGAGUAAGGUGCUUAGGUCGUGGUUCUAUACUCAGUGAUGCCGUUGGAGUUGAUGGACUCGCUUAUUCUUCCAAGCCUUCCGAUGUUAUUGUUAUUAGAUGGCCUUAAGCCAUAUUUAUUUUAAUAAGUUCUCUCGUGAGACAUUCGAUGUAAUAAGUGUGUGAUUGCUACUCUGUUAUAAAUCCUUCAAGUAUUGUGUGGUGUCAGCAUUACUGAUCCAGGGAUGACACUUGAACACAGAGAUCAGACUGUUUGAGGUCUGGUCGCUACAAAGAUGGUAUCAGAGCACACACUGACUGUAGGACACGGCCACUAAGCUAAAGCCCUAGAUCACUACUGUUUCUUCUCAUUUUUGACUCCUCGUCUUUUCUAUUCUUUAGGAUGGCGAAUGCAAGGAACAAGUUCACACAACCGGAUGAGGACACACCUUUUGGAUGUCACUUGAAGGAAGUCACUAGAUACCUGAACAUAGGAGUACCAAGAUUCACCGGGACCUUCAACGCCACUUUACCCGAAGAGGAGCGCUGGAUGAUUCAAGUCCACAUUCCAGGGAGGACAUUUGCACCAGUCAAGGAGCCCAUAGAGUUUUCCUUUGAUGCACCAACAUGGAGCCUAGGAAAGAGCAUGGCAGCCCACGUCACCACGUCGCCAAUCUUCGGAACGUCAUCGAGCUCAAGCACUACAACACCAUCAAGAUGAAGCUGGUCGCGUUGUGUACACCUACAAGUCCCAAAAAGCUCUACAUCAAGCUACGGCCAAACUUCAUGAGCACAAGAGAAGACCGCGAGACAAGCACCACCGAGACGGAGCUACAACUACUACAACCACUUCGGCAUCUUCGCCAAGUGUCAUCAAGGCAUCUUCGCCUUUGGACGUAUGGCUUCUUUGCCUACCUCCGAGGAGUACGCCUACUUCGGCCUUCCUCCAUGGCGACGGUGACGAGAUGAUCGAGCAUGGGAUUUUCCCUUCGGUCAUGGAGGAGAGCGAUGAUGUGCCAUCUUCGGCCUUCAUCCAUGGUGACGACGACAAGAUGGUUGAGCAUGGGAUUUUCCCUUCGACCACGGCGACGUAUGAUGACUUGAGUGACUUGUGCCACCAUAUUGAGAGUGAGAGUGACCUCACCAUUAGCCUCAUAUAUGACGAGUUGCCCCAAUUCCCAUGUGAGGAGAGCCACCAACACCACCACUUGAGUGAUUUGAGUGACUCCACCAUAUGUGACAUUGAGUGCACCUACCUUGAGGGAGUGAGUGAGCCACCACCACAUAGAGAGUGUGAGGUAGUUGAUAGGGCAUGUGAGGCCAUUUCAAUUUCUAACAACUUAACCUCUACCUCUUUUGUAUCUUCUCAUUUGGUGCUAGGUCCCAUUUAUGAUGACGGGCCGAUCCUCGACGACUUCGUCCUUCCUUUGGACACGAUGAUGGCCAUGGUGGACUACGAUGCACCUCCCACAUGGUUCCAUCACGAUGAUGACGCUGGCCACGCUUUGGUCUUUCCCACCUCACCUACACCACUUGAGUGGAACGAGAAAGGUAACAUAGGUGAAGGUGAUGCUCUUGUCCCACUAGUGGACAUCCUUGGUAUUGAUUGCUUGCAUGAUGUUGAUCCACCUAUUGGCAUGCUUCAUUCUAGUUCGACUUCCCCAUGCGAUGAUUUACCCAUUUAUGAUGAGUUUGAUGAUUGCCACGUGGAGUCUAUUAGUUGUGAUGCCAUGUUACAUAGGAUUUCUUGUGAUAAUUCUCUUGGUCACAUCAUGUUUGACAAUCCUCUUGACUUGUCAUAUGCUAUGCAUGAGAUCAACAAUAUGUCAUAUUUGCAAUCUCAUCUUAGUGACUAUGCAUAUGCCAUCAACAUAAACCCAAUUUGCACAUAUGGCAUAGAUGAAAAGCCCAUGGUUAUUGGCAUUUGUUUUUCUUGUGAUGAUAUUGAUAUGCUUCAUUUGCAUCAUUUAUCUCAUAUGCCAUGCCAUGACCACCUAGCUUCGGAUAUACAUUGUUGUGCAUGUUCUCCAUUUUCUCCAUAUGAUGUUUCCGCUAUUGCUCAUGAGGAGACCCCCAUAGUUUCCUCAUCCAUAUUAGGAGAUUUUGAUUCAUCCUAUCCAUUGCAUGAUCCCAAUAAUUGUGUGCACCAUAUGCUCCCCAUGAAUAAACAUGCUAGUGAUAUGCCAUAUACUUGCAUUCUCAAUUUGUGUCUCCAUUGUGUCAUACAUAACAACUAUUCUUUCAUGAUGGAUGACAUGUUCUUAUACCAUGCAUCAAAUUUCUUUGAGCGAUGCUUAUCUUGUACUAACUCACACGUGCACAUACACAUCAUGAUGGAUAAUGUGUACAUUUACCACGAACACAAUUUCUUUGGUUUGUGUCUCUUUUGUGUAGGUACCCAUGAAUACUUGUCCACCUCGCAAUCCCACGAGUUGACAAAACGAGCUCUAGAGAGCAAAGAUGACUUGGGAUCCGUUGGAGUGGCUUUCCCACCGCUCUCUUCGCGCAAGGACUACACGAAUUUCUUCUACAUGGCUCUCACUUGGUUAUGGGUUAUUUACCACUUCUCACUUUAUGCCCAUAUUGCCAUGUUCACUUUGCAUGCUAUGCUCAUUCCUAUGCCUUUGCCAUGCAUUUGUGACCCAUGCUUUGCAUUACACAUGAUGAUUGAUUCUACUACGUGCAUAGAUAUUUGCAAACAUGGUGGAGAUGUUGCUUGUUCUUGCAUUGUUUCCUUUGUGAUCCAUUCCUAUGAUGAUAUCUUGCUUUGCAAUCAUGCUUGCGGUAUGUCAUGUGCAUUGCCUAUAUCUCUUAUUUGCUCACAUGCCAUGAUUGCCAUGAUUUCCUCUAGUGUGUUGCAUCUUCGCUCCACUAGUUUGCACGACUUGAUUUCUAUGCUUUCUCUUGUUGCACCCACUUCUUGGAUUACUUGCUACUAUCACAUGUUUGGUUGCAACAAUGUCAUUCCUUCACAUAUGCCAUGUCCCAUUGAUUGCUACAUGCUUGCCUUGGUUGCCUCACACAUGAUGAACAAUUUCUCUUGCUAUCAUGUUGAGUGCCACUCGAUUUUCACUACACCCUAUGCACAUUAUGCUUGGACUGUCUUACACUUGACCCAUGUGUUUAGACAUUGCCUUUAAUUUGGUGUUGUGAAUGAUUCUUAUGCCUACCAUAGACCGUUCAUUGAGAGUCUUAUGCAUGCUUGCUAUGACAUUGAGGUAGAUGCUUGUUCACUUGUCCCACAUAUUAGCACCUUUACCUCACCCUUGCAUGAUUGUUUCCAUGAUGCUUCUCCAUAUGAUAAAUUUAUGUGCUUACAUGCUAUGCCACACUCCCUUGUCAAACCAUAUGCUAUGCUUGAUGACAACACUUGUUGGGUGAAUCACCUCUUGAAUGCUUGGUUUUGCUUUAAUGCCAACCAUAUUUGUUUUUCCAAGUUCUUGUUAUCUUUGCUCCUUUUGAAGGAAUUACAAGAUAGUGCGACAUUGGAGAGUGACCAUUUCGAGCUUCAACAUGACAAGUGCUUGGUGGUUCUCCACUUCUACACGGCAACGCCUUCUCUUCCCCAUGGUGAUGAAGAUCACGAUCCGUGGACGGAUCUCUCCCAAGGGGGGGGAGAUGAUGCGGAGCAUCCCUCGACCAUCCCCAUGGAUGUCACACCGCCAUCGCAAGCAUGGAGAGGACCUACGACGAGAGCUCACGCACGCGAUGUCGGAACCGAGGUGAACUCUUUCCUCUUUGAGUUUCAUUCGGAUUCACAUGAGAGUCGGGUUCUACCUCAAAUGGAUACAUUGUGCAUUCUUAGGUACUUGGGAGAUCGUCACGAGGAAGCAUGGAGGGAAACACCAAGUUCACCCGGAGACGCACGGAGGAAGGAGAAGGAAGAGGAGAGAAGACCAAGGAGAAGGAAGAGGAGAGAAGACCGAGGAGAAGAAGAGGCUGCAGCCCCUGGACUCCUCGGGUGCCCGGCUGCCAAGGCCCUGGGUGCCCGGCCACAGCCUGGGCGGCGCCCCAGCCGGCCCCGGGUGCCCGGCCCCAAGGCCUCGGGUACCCGGCCUAUCACUUGGGCCUCGCCAGCCCACCCCGGGUGCCCGGCCAACUGGCCCCGGGUGCCUGGCCUGCCCUGGGCCAUCUCCGGCGCCACCCCCGGGUGCCCGGGACUUGGGCCCCCGGGUGCCCGGCCGCCUCGCCCGGCCCUCUCCAGCGCCACCCCGGGUGCCUGGGACUUGGGCCCCUGGGUUCCCGGCCACAUGCCAGCCGGCCCCUGAGCCGCCCGGGUGCCCUGCCGAAGUUGCCCGGGUGCCCGGCCCCCUUCGCCCAGCCACACGUUGAUGGCCUUUUUGGCCUUGUACCCCUCUCUUCUUGCAUUGUGUCGCCCCUAGACUAUAUAAGGACACCUCCUAGGUCAUUUGGAAGGAUAGCAAAGUAUUUGAUAGACAUUUGUGAGCUUUGCUCCAUGGAUCCACUCCCCUAGGAGAUCAAGACCUCCUCUUGGAGUGACCAAACAUCAAGACCACCUCCAUGGGGAAGGAUCCCCAUCAUAGGAUCAUCAAGCCCUCAUCUCCUUCAUAGGAUUUGGGAUGAACUCUACCAUGUAUCUUAUUUCCCUUUGAUUGUUCAUGUACCUUGUGGAUCUUGUGUGUUUGUUGGUCUAGUGGAUGUGUGAUUUGGACUUGUUCUUGAGUGUUCCUCUUGUUUUCCCUCUUGUGUUCAUCUUGUUCUCGGGGAUUCCCCCUCCAAUUUGUGAAAGAUCUUCACUUAGGGUUCCACCCUACAACACAAGGGUUGUGCAAACGGCACGGUUGUAUUACCCGCGCCCGUAUUUAUGAGAAUCCCGCAAUAAGGGGACACGAUCUCUGCUUUGACAAGACGUGCCAAUGGAAACCGCAUCUCGAAACUCGAAACGGCGGACAAAAACGGUUCGAAAUGAUGACCGGGUAGGUGUGAUGUCAUCUUGCAAAAAAGUUGCCAGCGCAUGGGACUCGUGAAAUAUUAUAUUCUCUACGGUUGUGUGUGUGGUACUUGUGUUGCAGAUCCGGACACGUUCGUUGCGUCCGAAGACUAUCCUGGAGUAUUCGGAAAGGGGAACCCGCCUUGCAAUGCCGAAGACAAUCUGUGCGCCGGACACCUUGUCAUUGAAGCCUGGUUCAGGGGCUACUGAGGGAGUCCUGGACUAAGGGGUCCUCGGGCGUCCGGCCUGUUAGCCAUGGGCCGGACUAUUGGGCUGCAAAGAUACGAAGAUUGAAGACUCUACCCGUGUCCGGAUGGGACUCUCCUUGGCGUGGAAGGCAAGCUUGGCGAUCAAAUAUGAAGAUUCCUUUCUCUGUAACCGACUCUGUACAAACCUAGUCCCCUCCGGUGUCUAUAUAAACCGGAGGGUUUAGUCCGGAAACAGAUAUAUAUAAUCAUACAGGUUAGACUUCUACGGUCUUAGCCAUUACGAUCUCGUGGUAGAUCAACUCUUGUAAUACUCAUAUUCAUCAAGAUCAAACAAGCAGGAAGUAGGGUAUUACCUCCAUAGAGAGGGCCCCAAACCUGGGUAAACAUUGUGUCCCCUGUCUCCUGUUACCAUCGGCCUUAGACGCACAGUUCGGGACCCCCUACCUGAGAUCCAUCGGUUUUGACACCGACAUUGGUGCUCUCAUGGAGAGUUCCACUGUGCCGUCCCCAAAAGGUUUGAUGGCUCCUUCAAUCAUCCACAACAAUGCUGUCCAAGGAGAAGUUCAUUGGUGUAUACCUACAAAUAUGUCUAAAAGUUUCCUCUAGUACUAAUUAAUGAUUAUUCUAGAUUCAUUUGGGUAUUUUUGGGAUGAUAAAGGUAAACCCAAGGCACAUUCAAGACUUUUGUAAGAAAAGGUCAAAGCCAUAUUUAGGUCAAGAUCAAGAAAGUGUGAAGUGAUAACGGGACAAAGUUCAAGAUCACCAAUAUUGAUGUCUUCCUCGAUGAAAAAGGGAUCAACCACACGCUUUCCACCACCUAUACCACUCCACAAAAUGGAGUUAUGGAGAGGGAAAUGAAACAUUUAUCAUGAUGGCCCACUAUGCUUGACGAGUACAAGACGCACGGGUGCUUUUGUGCGAAUGCCGUUAACACCAUAUGCACCACUAUCAAUCAACCAUACCUCCAUGAGGUCCUCAAGAAGGUGGUAUAUGAAAUUCCCAGUAAAAAGCCCAAAGUAGAAUAUUUUAGAGUUUUUACGUCCUAAUGGUAUACUCUUGACAAGCACCAUAUAACUGGCUUUUAUCCUGAAGCUCACGAGGGAUUUCUCCUUGUUUAUGGCUCAACUCUCACGCACAUCACGUAUUCAACACAAUCUUUAAAAAAGGUUGAAGAAACUGUAGAUGUGAAGUUUGAGUAGAAAAAUAACCGCUAUGCUUAGAUCUAAAAGUGAAUUUUUAGAAAGAGUGUUCUUGCUUUUUGGUUUCACCAUAAUGAUGAAGAUCUUAAAAUAAUUGAUGUUUCUUCUAUUGAUUCCUUGUUUAGUAAUAUUAAAAUUGAUGAUAAGAGGACUGAAGAAGAGUCAACUUUACCUAGAAGGCAUCCUUAUAAUUCCGAGGGUGAGCAUCUUGUUGAAAAUUUUGAUAAAAGUGGGUUUGGAGAGGUAAAAACUUUAGCUAGCAAUGUGCCCACUCUUUUGGAUUACAAAGACUUCAAUUAUCAUAAUUGCUCUUUGAUUGAAUGUAUUUCUUUGUUGCAAUUCAUGGUAAAUUCACCCAAUGCUUAUGAACAAAAUAAAGCUUUUACCAAACAUAUUGUAGAAGCGAUGAUGAAAGCUUUAGAAGAAAAGCUAGAAUUCAUGAUUUCAAUUCCUAAAAAAUUACAUGGUGAAUGGGAACCCACUAUUAAAUCCAAGAUAAAAAAUUAUGAGUGUUAUGCUUUUUGUGAUUUGGGUGCUAGUGUUUCCACAAUUAGGAAACUCUAUGUGAUGUGCUUAGUUUUACCAAUAUUGAAGAAUGCUCUCUUAACUUGCACUUGGCGGAUUUUACUAUUAAAAAGCCUUUGGAAAGAAUUAAUGAUGUUCUUAUUCUUCCAAAUAGGAACUAUGUACCCAUAUAUUUUUUUUGUUCUUGAUAUUGAUUGCAAUCCGUCUUGCCCUAUAAUACUUGGUAGACUGCUUUUACAAACUAUAGCUACCAUGAUUGAUAUGAAAGAAGAGAAUAUUAAAUUUCAGUUUCCAUUAAGAAAGGGUAUGGAACACUUCCCUAGAACUACAUUUAAGCCACCAUAUGAAUCAAUCAUGAAGGCAAUCUGUGGAGCAAAAACUAAAGAUGACAAUACUUGAAUCUAUGCAUUAUGCCUAGCUAGGGGCAUAAAACGAUAGCGCUUGUUGAGAGGCAACCCAAUGAAUAAAAUAUUUUUUCCCUUUUUCUUUCUGUUUUUGCAUGUUGAAACAAUUAUGCUACUAUUAUGAUUCUGUUUUUAUGUUUUAAUUAGUGUUUGUGCCAAGUAAAGCCUUUAAGAUCAUGUUGGGUGAUAGUUGACUUGAUCUUGUUGGAAAAUAAAAACUUUUGCGCCUAGUAGCAAUUUUUUUAAAUCACUUCUGAAGUUUUUACACAAUAUUGAUAUACAAAUUGCCUACAUUCUCCUAAUUUUUCAGAAUUUUUGGAGUUACAGAAGUAUGGUCAAAUUGCAGAUUACUACAGACUGUUCUGUUUUUGACACAUUCUGUUUUCGUUGCAUUGUGUGCUUAUUUUGAUGAAUCUAUGGAUUGUAUCGGAGGGUAUAAGCCAUGGUGAAGUUAGAAUACAGUAGGUAUAAUGCAAUAAUAAAAUAUGAAUGGGUUUGCAACAGUACUUAAAGUGAUGAUUUGCUUUAUUAUACUGACGGAUCUCAUAAAGGUUUUUGUUAAGUUUUGUGUGAUUGAAGUUUUCAAGUUUUUGGUGAGAUCAUGAUGGAUGAAUGAAAGUGCAACUAUCCCUAGGUGGUUUUGGUAAUUCCUAACAACAUAUAGCUCAUUGAGCUAACAUCAUUCCAAGAUGAACAUUUCAGGCAAAGCUCAAUGAAUGGCAUGGCAUGGAUGAGAAAAGUGGAUCCCUCAAAAUGCUAAGGACAAAAGGAUUGGCUCAAGCUCAAAAGCUCAAGACUCUACAUUUUACAUUUUAGUGAUCCAAGAUCACAUUGAGUCUAUAGGAAAAGCCAAUACUAUCAAGGAGGGAUGAGGUGUUGCUUAAUGAGUUUCUUGCUCCACAGUGCUUAGUGAUAUGCUCCAAAACCCUCAACUACUUUCUCACAUCCACAUAUGACCUAAACCAAAAGUCAAACUCGGCCCUACCGAUUAUUUGUAUCCGGCGCCACCGAGUUCAGAUGUCAUAUCCACUGCCACAAACCCUAGGCAAAUCGGUCUCACCGAUAAGGAUCUCGGUCUCACCGAGAUGGGCUUGUAAUCUCUCUGUUUCCCUUCGUAACGUUUUGGUACCACCGAGAUGAGCGAUCGGUCCCACCGAGAUUGCAAUGUAAACUCCCUGUUUCCUUUUCGUAACAUUUUAGUCCCAUCGAAAUGAGCGAAUCGGUCCCAUCGAGUUUACCUGACCAACUCUCUGGUUUGCUUAUUACCAAAAUCGGUCUCACCGAGUUUGUGUAAUCGGUCUCACCGAGAUUACGUCGCCCUAACCCUAACCAUAUCGGUCCUACCGAGUUGCAUGUCGGUCCCACCGAAAAUCCUAACGGCCACUAGAUUUGCUGAAUUGGUCCGACCGAGUUUACCAAUUCGGUCCCACCGAGUUUGGCAAGUUGUGUGUAACGGUUAGAUUUUGUGUGGAGGCUAUAUAUACCCCUCCACCUCCUCUUCAUUCGUGGAGAGAGACAUUAGAACAAACCUACACUUCCAACUUGCUGUUUUUGAGAGAGAACCACCUACUCAUGUGUUGAGGCCAAGAUAUUCCAUUCCUACCAUAUGAAUCUUGAUCUCUAGCCUUCUCCAAGUUUCUUUCCACUCAGAUCUUCUUUCCACCAAAUCCAAAUCCUGUGAGAGAGAGUUGAGUGUUGGGGAGACUAUCAUUUGAAGCACAAGAGCAAGGAGUUCAUCAUCAACACACCAUUUGUUACUUCUUGGAGAGUGUGUCUCCUAGAUUGGCUAGGUGUCACUUGGGAGCCUCCGACAAGAUUGUGGAGUUGAACCAAGGAGUUUGUAAGGGCAAGGAGAUCGCCUACUUUGUGAAGAUCUACCGCUAGUGAGGCAAGUCCUUCGUGGGCGACGGCCAUGGUGGGAUAGACAAGGUUGCUUCUUCGUGGACCCUUCAUGGGUGGAGCCCUCCGUGGACUCGCGCAACCGUUAACCUUCGUGGGUUGAAGUCUCCAUCAACGUGGAUGUACGAUAGCACCACCUAUCGGAACCACGACAAAAACAUACAUGUCUCCAAUUGCGUUUGAAUCCUCCAAAUCCUUCCCUUUACAUUCUUGCAAGUUGCAUGCUUUACUUUCCGCUGCUCAUAUACUCUUUGCAUGCUUUCUUGAAUUGUGUUAAGAUUGCUUGACUUGUGCUAAGAUAGCUAAAAUCUGCCAAAGACUAAAAUUGGGAAAAGGACAAGUUUUUAUUUGGUCAAGUAGUCCAAUCACCCCCCUCUAGACAUACUUUUGAUCCUACAAAUGGUAUCAGAGCUUUGGUCUCCAUUUGCUUUGAUUUCCAUAGCUUUUGGUGGUCAUAGCCUUGGUUUCACAACCUAGGAGAGUAUGGCGUCUAGCGAGGGAAAUUAUCACCGUAGAGGUCCUUACUUUGAUGGUACUAAUUUUGCUAGUUGGAAGCAUAAGAUGAAAAUGCAUAUUCUUGGACAUAACCCCGCCUCUUGGGCUAUUGUGUGUAUUGGCUUGCAAGGUGAAUUCUUUGAUGGGAGAAAACCGAACCGUGAAGCUAGCGCGGAAGAGUUGAAGAUGCUGCAAUACAACGCUCAAGCUUGUGAUAUCCUCUUCAACGGAUUGUGCCCCGAAGGAUUCAACAAAAUCAGUCGUCUUGAGAAUGCAAAGGAAAUUUGGGAUACUUUGAUUGAUAUGCAUGAAGGUACCGACUCCGUCCAGGAAUCCAAGUUGGAUGUGCUCCAAAGUCAACUUGACAAGUUCAAAAUGAAGGAUGGUGAAGGUGUCGCUGAAAUGUACUCUAGGCUUGCUCUUAUCACAAAUGAGAUUGCCGGCUUAGGAAGUGAAGAGAUGACCGACAAAUUCAUCAUCAAGAAGAUCCUAAGAGCUUUGGACGGAAAAUAUGAUACCGUGUGCACAUUGACCCAAAUGAUGCCCAAUUACAAAGAUCUCAAGCCAACGGAAGUCAUUGGAAGAAUUGUUGCUCAUGAGAUGUCACUCAAGGAUAAGGAGGAACUUCACAACAAGUCAAGUGGUGCUUACAAAGCCCCAUGUGAAGCCCCUAAUUCAUCAAGUGAGAAACAAACCUUCAAUAAAGAAUUGAGCUUAAUGGUGAAGAACUUCAACAAGUUCUACAAGAAUAGAAGCAAAGAGAGAAGCUCCAAGUCAAGGUCCUACAAUGACAAAAGAUCUUCUAGUUGAGAGCGAAAUUGCUACAAUUGUGGGAGACCCGCACACUAUUCCAAUGAGUGUAUUGCACCCUACAAAAGAAGAGAAGAAUCACCCAAGAGGAGAAGUAGAAGAGAAGAAUCACCACCAAGAGAUAGGAGGAGUAGAGAUGAUCGUUAUGAACGAAGAACAUCCCGGAGAAGCAAGGAUUCGGAAAGGAAGGACAAGUCAUCAAGGAGCUACACAAAACGAAGACAUCAAGCUCAUGUUGGUGAAUGGGUAUCCGGCUCCGACUCUGACAAACACUCCGAGAGAAGCUAUCACUCCGACUCCGAAUAUACUCAAGAUGAAGGUGUUGCCAGUCUAGCACUUGUGUCAACCAUCUCCUACGACAUAUUUGAUUCACCAAAUGAAGGACUUGGAAGAUGCGUCAUGGCUAAAGGCCCAAAGGUAACACACCCCGAGUAUGCUGAUUUCAAUAGUGAUGAAGAUGACUUGCUAGGUGAUGAUGAUUUACUUGUUGACAACUCCGGUGAUGAAUACUAUGAUGAAACAUCAAUUAAUCAUGCUAAUCAAGAUAAAAUGAAUGACAAUGAUAAGGAAGAUUGAGCUUCUAACUAAAGAACUAAACACUCUUAAGUUAGCUCAUGAAACUAUCUUAGAAGAUCAUCGAGAACUUUUAAGGACUCAUGAGAAGUCACGCUUUGAAACGCUCAACCUUGAGCAAGAGCAUGAGUUCUUAAAGGCAAUCAAUGAUGAUCUGCGUAAGAAAAGUUCUUCUUACAUUGCCAAGCAUUUACUCUUAUCUACUUACAUGCCUCAAGUCAAGUCCAUUAACAAGAACAAGAAGGAUUCUUCCUCUAGUAGUAACAAUAAUCAUGCUAAAUCCAAUGUUGUUGCUUCUAGUAGUUCUCUUGAUUCCACUAACGAUUUUCUUAGCCAAGUUACACUUGAGCAAGAAAAUAGCUUAUUGAAGGGAAUUAUAAAGAAAGGUGUUUACAAGAGCCUUGCUGGGAGUAAGCAAUUUGAGGAAAUUGUACCCAAGCAAGGAAGGCACUGGAAGAACCAAGGUGUUGGUUUUGAACGAAAGUUCAAUGCCAAUGGAGUUGAGUGGGAAGAAGAUCAAUACCCCAAGACGAAGUUUGUUCCCCAACAAGAGAAGUAUGAUCCUACUUCCUUCAAGGGGACACAAGCUCAAGAUGAUCUUCCACCACAAGACCACAAGCAAAAAGGCAAGGACAAGCUUCAAGAGGAGAUUGAUGCAUUUGAAGAAGCUCCUAAGGCCUUGGUCAAGUGGGUUCCCAAGACUACAUCAAGCUCUACUUCAUCAAGUAUGACUACAACUCCAAGGAUUCCCAUCAAGAUGAUGUGGAUCCCGAAGAAGAAGAACUAGAGAGUUCUUGAGGGUGACUCUGCCAACAUACUUCACUCAUAUCAUUUUGGGAACAACAAGUGCAAUCAACUUUCACAUCUUACACUAGUUCAAGGAGUCACAAACCCUCUUGUUGGUAAGACAAGGGACAAGGUAACCUAAUGCUUUCAUAGACAUCAUCUUGUGUGUGCAUCACUCUAUGUAUAUGGAUAUCCUUGUUUGUUCCUUGUGGGACUAACCCAUGUAGGUAUUGAAAGUGCAACUCACUCCAAAGGAUUGCUCCAAAUGAUCUUCAUCAACACUGAGCAUCCACAUCUUCAACACCUACAUGAAGUCAUCAUCGACAAAACCCAAGGUUAGUUCAUCCCUCUAAAGGGGGAUCUCACAUCUAGGGGGAGCUUAACUCUAAGAAUUGAGUCAAAGCAAUUCUAAUGGUGUGAACACAUCAAUGCAUUAUGUAAAAGUGGUAACCCCACUUGAGCUUAAACGAUGAGUAUGACCUAUGAUCAAAUGUUCUCAUUUGACUCCUAAGUCGAUAUACUCAUAUAUAGAUGACCUAGUCAUCGCCAAUUGUUUGAUAGAUGCUAGAAUUGGUUGUGCAUGCUUUGCCACAUAUUUCAUUUGCCAUUUUAUUGUGUGAGCAUGUUGGUUGCAUAUUUCACUCGUUCGAGGACAUCCACUUGUUGCUUUGAUUGAUUGGUUUCUUUUUCUUUUGCCAAGUGGAUGGACAAGAAUGCCUAAGAACCUUCUCUAGCUAUCUAUGCUUUUCUUGUCUCAAACUCUAUUCAUGCUACAUCACAAAAUUUGAUCAAGUCAGAUUCGAACCACUCUGUGUGAGGAGCACUCGGAGUCCCCGAUUCGUCAUAGACUUAAACUUCCAAAACUUCUUUGUGCGUUUCAGUCUGACAGAUUCUUCCAUUUCAGUCAUACCGAGAUCACUAAGUCGAUCUAGGUUUUCAAUCUCGGUGCAACCGAUUUGAACUUUUCGGUCACGCCGAGUUGCUUUAACUGUCAACAGUUAUGCAUCUCGGUGCCACCGAGUUGUUCCACUCGGUCACACCGACAGGGUCGGGCAAUAUAUACUCACGGGCAAAAAUUUGGAAACUUUCUCCAAACUCUUUCCGCCCGCGCAUAGCCCGCUUUGCCUCCAGGGUCUCAGGAUCGUCCUCCUCGUUGCCAGCCGCCUCCAAUCGCUGGUCUCCGCCGCCGUCAACGGAAAUCAUCCCCGUCGUUGCCGCCAUAGUGAGUUCAUCGCCGAACUAGGGUAUGGACUCAAUCACUAUGCUAUCCCCGUCCAAUUCCUAGCAUAUUGUGUUCGUCAUGAAUCUUGCCACGACUGAAACUAUUCUAUCCAGUCAAAACACUCCAUAGAUUAGAGGUGAAUUGAAAAUUUAGGGUUAGGUUUCCGCCGAAACCAUCUCGGACCCAUCGAGUUGUGGAACUCGGUUCCACCGAUUCGGCUAAGGCCAUUGCACAUGUGAUUCUCGGUCUGACCGAGAAUUGCAAAUCGGUGUGACCGAGUUCAGGACUUUGUGAAACCCUAGCAGUCUCGGUGCCACCGAACUGUGACUCGGUCUGACCGAGUUCACUAGUUUAGGUUCCAAAAGCUGCUUCGGUAUCACCAAGUUUGCAAAUCGGUUGAUCCGAAAUGCUUUCUGUGGAAAACUAAAACUAAGUUUUUGAAUCAUUCUUUUGCAAAAACCUCUGUAUUUUGUGAUGCUCAUCCACUCUAUCUCAUCUAUAUCUAUUCACAGGGUCUGCAGUCAGUAUUUGCAACAUGUCUGAUCAAAGUGACAGCCAGAAUAGGGAAGAGGAGCAAAUUCAGAUGAGUGAGGGCACUAGUCCCUCUAGCACCUCCGAUGAUGGUAGCAGGAGCACCCCAAGCAACCUUCCCAAAGCUACCACCAGGGCUAGAAAGAAGAAAACCUCAUAAUCUGAGGAUGAAGACUAUGUGGCAGUCAAGGAUGAGGCCACUUCCAAGAAGAAAGUGCUCAAAAAGGAGUAUGGCUCAGCUGCAUCCACUAAGCCAGGAGUGUAGAAGAAGGCACCUGCAAUAAGGAUUCCCACUUCCAAACCCAGGAAGGUUGCCACUGGAGAAACCAUGAAGUUUACUAUUGAGUCAGAAAAUGAAGCUGCUGGUCAAGACAAAAAGAAAAAGAGAGUCAGAACCACUACUGCCAAAGUUCUUGGCAAUCCCUCUAUGAGGAGAGACUCGGAGGAAGAGGAAGAAGAGGUUGCUGCACCAGCACCCAAGGCUCAGAAGCUUAUGGGUGAUGCUAUUAGGUCAGGGGCUGCAUCAUCAAAGCCCAAAGAAACACCCAAAGCUGCCUCCAAGCCCAAGAUUGCACCAAAGAGGAAUACCAGAAACAUAUCUGCUGCUGAGAAGAACAAGGCCCAGUGCCUGAAACUGUUGCUGAAGAAGAAGAAGAUGAAGAGCAUGUCUUGAGAAAGUUGAAGCCAAAAAUUCCAGAUUAUAAUGAUACCCAUCCUGUGGCUGAGAAUAUGAUGCUGAGAAAGGAUGCAGGCCUCAGACAGUGGAGGUUGUCUGAUCCUUAUGCAAUCAAGAGAAGGACUAUUGUUGACUACAGGUUCCAUACAAAGGAACAACAGGAUUUCUAUGAGACAGUGUUGUUGGACAAGAAGCCAAUAGUGUGUGACAUGAGGUGGGUAGACUGGACCUACAUGAAGGAGAAUGAGGAACACUAUCCUGGUGUGUAUGAUAGUUUCAGUGCUUGUGGAGUUGCAGACUUUGUUGGGAAGAAGCUCACAAAGUGGAAUGAUGAGCUCAUAAUGCAAUUCUACUCCACAACACACUUAUAUCCAGAUGGCAGGAUAGUAUGGAUGUCUGAAGGUACUAGGUACCAAUCAACAAUUGAAGAAUGGGCAAAUCUGAUCAAUGCACCUAAGGAGAAAGAAUAUGACUUGGAUGUCUAUGCCAAGAAUAAGAUGGAUCACAAUUCUAUGACACAUAUGUACAAGGAGAUCCCAAAUGCUGCAGUUGAGACACAUAAGUUUGGAUCAGUACAUUACCUUCUGUCAGGACUGCCAACCAUCAACUGGAUCCUCAGGCAUACUCUCUUGCCCAAGUCAGGUGACCACAACAUGAUCAGAGGCCAUGCAAUAAACUUGCUACACUUAUUUGAUGUGCCAUAGAAGUUCAAGGUCAUGAGCCUCAUAGUUGAGACUAUCAAGAGGACAGUAGCUGACCAGAAGAGAAGUUCUGGGUAUGCCCCACAGAUCCAGGAGCUGAUUAACUCCAAGAUGGGCAUAGGCAUGUACUUGUUGGACAAGGAUCACAUGCCUAUCUAUCCAGACUUUAAGGACAACUAAGUGGUAUGGAUGAAGAUGAACCAUCUUUAGUGAAUGCUUAAGCAAAGAAGGAGAAGGCAAGGACAGAGAAGGCUACCAAGAUGCCAACAAUGGAAGAGGCAUCUCAGUACUUUUUGAAGAGCAAACAAGAUCAACUAGGCUACUUGAUUGCAUCCACUCUGAGGAUUGAGAAGGGGCUGGCCACCUUGACUCAAAACCAGGAGAGCCUCGAGAGGAUCAUGGAGCAGAAGUUCUAUGACUUGGAUGUGAAGGUAACUGAGAUCCAGUCUGUUGUUGAGCAGCUUCAGGAUGAUAUGCAGGAGAGGAAGGGCAAGACAACCACGGAUGCAUUCUCCAAAGUGCCUAGAGCUCAGAGAUCAGCUGCAGUGCCAGUGACAGACACCAGAGCCACUUCAUCUACACCAGCUACAGCUCCUACAGCUCUAGUGCAACUAGCUCCAAUGCCUACACCUCCAGCUCCAUCCACAUCUACUGAAGUCUUCGUCCAAGGAGCCAUAUCUACACCACCACCUGAAGAUGAAGCCUAAGAGAUGAUUUAGUGCUAUGCAUUUUCUAUGAACUUUUUGGUAACUUGUUGCCAAAGGGGGAGAAACAUGUAUAGGUCAUAGGCUUCGAGAGAGAGUGCUGCUUUUUGUUCUCUCUUGCUUUGGUGGUUGAACUUUAUUUGCUUGAUUGAGAUACUUUAUGUCUGUGUGAUACUUGGAUGAUCAUGUGUUUGAUCAUAUGCUACAUUUAUGCUUGUUGGAUGACAUUAUCUCAUUUAUCUCUAUAUGAUCAUUCACUUUGCUUGGUGAUGAGUGCAUGUAUUCAAUCAUUAUCAUUUUGAAUGCUCCACCAAGAUGUAUGUGACAUGGAAGAGUAACCCAUAAGCCUAACUCUUUGUGCAUUUGCAGUCCAAAGCAAAUCAUAAACUAUGCACAAAUUUAGGGAGAGCUCUUGCUUAUCACAUACUUCUCAAAGCGACAAUGCUUUUCACUCUUAUUAUCAUUUGUCGAAGCUUUGAUCUAUAUGUUGCCAUCAAUUACGAAAAAGGGGGAGAUUGAAAGUGCAACUAUCCCUAGGUGGUUUUGGUAAUUCCUAACAACAUAUAGCUCAUUGAGCUAACAUCAUUCCAAGAUGAACAUUUCAGGAAAAGCUCAAUGAAUGGCAUGGCAUGGAUGAGAAAAGUAGAUCCCUCAAAAUGCUAAGGACAAAAGGAUUGGCUCAAGCUCAAAAGCUCAAGACUCUACAUUCUAUAUUAUAGUGAUCCAAGAUCACAUUGAGUCUAUAGGAAAAGCCAAUACUAUCAAGGAGGGAUGAGGUGUUGCUUAAUGAGUUUCUUGCUCCACGGUGCUUAGUGAUAUGCUCCAAAAACCUCAACUACUUUCUCACAUCCACAUAUUGAAGGAAAUAUGCCCUAGAGGCAAUAAUAAAGUUAUUAUUUAUUUCCUUAUAUCAUGAUAAAUGUUUAUUAUUCAUGCUAGAAUUGUAUUAACCGGAAACAUAAUACAUGUGUGAAUACAUAGACAAACAUAGUGUCACUAGUAUGCCUCUACUUGACUAGCUCGUGAAUCAAAGAUGGUUAAGUUUCCUAGCCAUAGACAUGAGUUGUCAUUUGAUUAACGGGAUCACAUCAUUAGGAGAAUGAUGUGAUUGACAUGACCCAUUCCGUUAGCCUAGCACUUGAUCAUUUAGUAUGUUGCUAUUGCUUUCUUCAUGACUUAUACAUGUUCCUAUAACUAUGAGAUUAUGCAACUCCCGUUUGCCGGAGGAACACUUUGGGUGCUACCAAACGUCACAAUGUAACUGGGUGAUUAUAAAGGAGUACUACAGGUGUCUCCAAAGGUACAUGUUGGGUUGGCGUAUUUUGAGAUUAGGUUUUGUCACUCCGAUUGUCGGAGAGGUAUCUCUGGGCCCUCUCGGUAAUGCACAUCACUAUAAGCCUUGCAAGCAAUGUAGCUAAUGAGUUAGUUACGGAAUGAUGCAUUACGUAACGAUUAAAGAGACUUGCCGGUAACGAGAUUGAACUAGGUAUUGGAUACCGACGAUCGAAUCUCGGGCAAGUAACAUACCGAUGACAAAGGGAACAACGUAUGUUGUUAUGCGGUUUGACCGAUAAAGAUCUUCGUAGAAUAUGUAGGAGCCAAUAUGAGCAUCCAGGUUCCGCUAUUGGUUAUUGACCAAGAAUAGUUCUAGGUCAUGUCUACAUAGUUCUCGAACCCGUAGGGUCCGCGCGCUUAAGGUUUCGAUGACAGUUUUAUUAUGAGUUUAUGAGUUUUGAUGUACCGAAGGAGUUCGGAGUCCCAGAUGAGAUUGGGGACAUGAUGAGGAGUCUCGAAAUGGUCGAGACGUAAAGAUCGAUAUAUUGGACGACUAUAUUCGGAGUUCGGAAAGGUUCUGAGUGAUUCGGGUAUUUUUCGGAGUACCGGAGAGUUACGGGAAUUCGCCUGGGAGUAUAUGGGCCUUAUUGGGCCAUACGGGAAUAGAGGAGAGAGGCCGAAAGGAAGGAGGCGCGCAGCCCCCCUCUGGUCCGAAUUGGACAAGGGGUGCGGCCCCCCUUUCCUUCCUCCUCUCCCCCUCUUUCCCCCUUCUCCUACUCCAACAAGGAAGGAGGGAGUCCUACUCCCGGUGGGAGUAGGACUCCCCUUGGCGCGCCCCUCCUAGGCCGGCCGCCCCCUCCCCCCUUGCUCCUUUAUAUACGGGGGCAGGGGGCACCUCUAAGGGAGAACAACACAAGUUGAUCUACGGAUCGUUCCUUAGCCGUGUGCGGUGCCCCCCUCCACCAUAUUCCACCUCGGUCAUAUCGCCGUGGAGUUUAGGCGAAGCCCUGCGCCGGUAGAGCAUCAUCAUCGUCACCACGCCGUCGUGCUGACGGAACUCAUCCCCAACGCUUUGCUGGAUCGGAGCCCGGGGAUCGUCAUCGAGCUAAACGUGUGCUGAACUCGGAGGUGCCGUAUGUUCGGUACUUGGAUCGGUCGGAUCGUGAAGACGUACGACUACAUCAACCGCGUUGUCAUAACGCUUCCGCUAACGGUCUACGAGGGUACAUGGACAUACACUCUCCCCUCUCGUUGCUAUAUCAUCACCAUGAUCUUGCGUGUGCGUAGGAAUUUUUUUGAAAUUACUACGUUCCCAACAGUGGCAUCCGAGCCUAGGUUUUAUGUGUUGAUGUUAUAUGCACGAGUAGAACACAAGUGAGUUGUGGGUGAUACAAGUCAUACUGCUUACCAGCAUGUCAUACUUUGGUUCAGCGGUAUUGUUGGAUGAAGCGGCCCGGACCGACAUUACGCGUACGCUUACGCGAGACUGGUUUUACCGCCGUGCUUUGCACACAGGUGACUAGCGGGUGUCUGUUUCUCCAACUUUAGUUGAACCGAGUGUGGCUACGCCCGGUCCUUGCGAAGGUUAAAACAGCACCAACUUGACAAACUAUCGUUGUGGUUUUUUGAUGCAUAGGUAAGAACGGUUCUUGCUAAGCCCGUAGCAGCCACGUAAAACUUGCAACAACAAAGUAGAGGAUGUCUAACUUGUUUUUGCAGGGCAUGUUGUGAUGUGAUAUGGUCAAGACGUGAUGAGAUAUAAGUUGUUGUAUGAGAUGAUCAUGUUUUGUUGAAGUUAUCGGCAACUGGCAGAAGCCCUAUGGUUGUCUCUUUGUUGCAUAAGAUGCAAGUGCCAAAUAAUUGCUUUACUUUAUCGCUAUGCGAUAGCAAUAGUUGCAAGAGCAAUAGUUGGCGAGACGACCAUGUGACGACACAUUGAUAUAGAUCAAGAUGAUGAAGAUCAUGGUGUCGUGCCGGUGACGAUAGAGAUCAUGACAGUACUUUGGAGAUGGAGAUCAAAGGCGCAAGAUGAUCAUGGCCAUAUCAUGUCACAUAUUUUGAUUGCAUAUGAUGUUUAUCUGUUAUACAUCUUAUUCUGUUUUGUUUGAUGGUAGCAUUUUAAGAUGAUCUCUCACUAAUUAUCAAGAAGUGUUCUCCCUGAGUAUGCACCGUUGCGAAAGUUCUUCGUGCUGAGACACCACGUGAUGAUCGGGUGUGAUAGGCUCUACGUUCAAAUACAACGGGUGCAAAACAGUUGCACACGCGGAAUACUCGGGUUAAACUUGACGAGCCUAGCAUAUACAGAUAUGGCCUCGGAACACGGAGACCGAAAGGUCGAGCGUGAAUCAUAUAGUAGAUAUGAUCAACAUAUUGAUGUUCACCAUUGAAACUACUCCAUCUCACGUGAUGAUCGGACAUGGUUUAGUUGAUAUGGAUCACGUAAUCACUUAGAGGAUUAGAGGGAUGUCUAUCUAAGUGGGAGUUCUUAAGUAAUAUGAUUAAUUGAACUUUAAUUUAUCAUGAACUUAGUCCUGGUAGUAUUUUGCAAAUUAUGUUGUAGAUCAAUAGCUCGCGUUGUUGCUUUCAUAUGUUUAUUUUGAUAUGUUCCUAGAGAAAAUUGUGUUGAAAGAUGUUAGUAGCAAUGAUGCGGAUUGGAUCCGUGAUCUGAGGUUUAUCCUCAUUGCUGCACAGAAGAAUUAUGUCCUUAAUGCACCGUAGGUGACAGACCUAUUGCAGGAGCAGAUGCAGACGUUAUGAAUGUUUGGCUAGCUCAAUAUGAUGACUACUUGAUAGUUUUGUGCACCAUGCUUAACGGCUUAGAAUCGGGACUUCAAAGACGUUUUGAACGUCAUGGACCAUAUGAGAUGUUCCAGGAGUUGAAGUUAAUAUUUCAAGCAAAUACCCGAGUUGAGAGAUAUGAAGUCUCCAACAAGUUCUAUGGCUAAAAGAUGGAGGAGAAUCGCUCAACUAGUGAGCAUGUGCUCAGAUUGUCUGGGUACUACAAUCGCUUGAAUCAAGUGGGAGUUAAUCUUCCAGAUAAAAUAGUGAUUGACAGAAUUAUCUAGUCACCAUCACCAAGUUAGUAGAACUUCGUGAUGAAUUAUAAUAUGCAAGGGAUGACAAAAGUGAUUCCCAAGCUCUUCGUGAUGUUGAAAUUGACGAAGGUAGAAAUCAAGAAAGAGCAUCAAGUGUUGAUGAUUGACAAGAUCACUAGUUUCAAGAAAAGGGCAAAGGGAAAGAAAGGGAAACUUCAAGUAGAAUGGCAAACAAGUUGUCACUCCCGUGAAGAAGCCCAAAGCUGGACCUAAGCCUGAAACUGAGUGCUUCUACUGCAAAGGAAAUGGUCACUGGAAGUGGAACUACUCCAAAUAUUUGGUGGAUAAGAAGGAUGGCAAAGUGAAUAAGGGUAUAUUUGAUAUAUAGGUGUUUGAUGUGUGCCUUACUAGUGUUUAUAGUAGCCCCUGAGUAUUUGAUACUUGUUCAGUUGCUAAGAUUAGUAACUCGAAACAGGAGUUACAUAAUAAACAGAGACUAGUUGAGGGGAAGAGACGAUGAGUGUUGGAAAUAGUUCCAAGAUUGAUAUGAUCAUCAUCGCACACUCCCUAUACUUUCGAGAUUAGUGUUGAACCUAAAUAAAUGUUAUUUGAUGUUUGCGUUGAGCAUGAAUAUGAUUUGAUCAUGUUUAUUGCAAUACGGUUAUUCAUUUAAAAUCAGAGAAUAAUUGUUGUUCUGUUUAAAUGAAUAAAACCUUUGAUGGUCAUACACCCAAUGAAAAUAGUUUGUUGGAUCUCGAUCAUAGUGAUACACAUAUUCAUACUAUUGAUGCCAAAAGAUGCAAAGUUGAUAAUGAUAGUGCAACUUAUUUGUGGCACUGCCGUUUGGGUCAUAUCGGUGUAAAGCGCAUGAAGAAACUCCAUAAAGAUGGAUUUUCGGAAUCACUUGGUUAUGAAUCAUUUGAUGCUUGCGAACCGUGCCUUUUGGGCAUGAUGACUAAAACUCCGUUCUCCGGAACAAUGGAACAAGCUACUGACUUAUUGGAAAUAAUACAUACCGAUGUAUGCGAUCCAAUGAGUGUUGAUGCUCGUGGCAAGUAUCGUUAUUUUCUAACCUUCACAAGAUGAUUUGAGCAGAUAUGAGUAUAUCUACUUGAUGAAACAUAAGUCUGAAAUAGUUGAAAAGUUCAAAGAAUUUCAGAGUGAAGUGGAAAAAUCAUCGUAACAAGAAAAAUAAAGUUUCUAUGAUCUGAUCGUGGAGACGAAUAUUUGAGUUAUGAGUUUGGUCUUCAUUUGAAACAAUGUGAAAUAGUUUCGCAACUCACGCCAUCUGGAACACCACAAUGUAAUGGUGUGUCCGAACGUCAUAAUCGUACUUUACUAGAUAUGGUGCGAUCUAUGAUGUCUCUUAUCGGUUUACCACUAUCGCUUUGGGGUUAUGCAUUAGAGACAGCUGCAUUCACGUUUAAUAGGGCACCAUCUAAAUCCGUUGAGCCGACACCGUAUGAACUAUGGUUUAGCAGUAAACCUAAGCUGUCGUUUCUUAAAGCUUGGGGUUGCGAUGCUUAUAUGAAAAAGGUUUUCAACCUGAUAAGCUCGAACCCAAAUCGGAGAAGUACGUCUUCAUAGAAUACCCAAAGGAAACUGUUGGGUACACCUUCUAUCACAGAUCCAAAAGCAAGAUAUUCGUUGCUAAGAUGGAUCCUUUCUAGAGAAGGAGUUUCUCUCGAAAGAAGUGAGUGGGAGGAAAGUAGAACUUGAUGAGGUAAUUGUACCUUCUCCCUUAUUGGAAAGUAGUGCAUCACAGAAAUCAGUUCCAGUGAUUCCUACACCAAUUAGUGAGGAAGUUAAUGAUGAUGAUCAUGAAACUUCAGAUCAAGUUGCUACCAAACCUCGUAGGUCUUCCAGAGUAAGAUCUGCACCAGAGUGGUACGGUAAUCAUGUUCUGGAAGCCAUGUUACUAGACCAUGAUGAACCUACGAACUAUGAGGAAGCGAUGAUGAGCCCAGAUUCCACGAAAUGGCUUGAGGCCAUAAAAUCUGAGAUAUGAUCCAUGUAUGAGAAUAAAGUAUGGACUUUGAUUGACUUGCUCAAUGAUCAGCAAGCCAUGUUAAAUAAAUGGAUCUUCAAGAGGAAGACGGACACUGAUAGUAGUGUUACUAUCUACUAAGCUCGACUUGUUGCGAAAGGUUUUCAACAAGUUCAAAGUGUUGAAUACGAUGAGAUUUUCUCACUCGUAUCGAAGCUUAAGUCUGUCUGAAUCAUGUUAGCAAUUGCCACAUUUUAUGAAAUCUGGCAAAUGGAUGUCAAAACUGCAUUCCUUAAUGGAUUUAUUAAAGAAGAGUUGUAUAUGAUGCAACCAGAAAGUUUUUGUCAAUCCUAAAGAUGCUAACAAAGUGUGCAAGCUCCAGCGAUCCAUCUAUGGACUGGUGCAAGCAUCUCGGAGUUGGAAUAUACGCUUUGAUGUGUUGAUCAAAGCAUAUGGUUUUAUACAGACUUUUGGAAAGGCCUGUAUUUACAAGAAAGUGAGUGGGAGCUCUGUAGCAUUUCUAAAAUUAUAUGUGGAUGACAUAUUGUUAAUUGGAAAUGAUAUGGAAAUUCUGGAUAGCAUGAAAGGAUACUUGAAUAAGAGUUUUUCAAAGCAAGACCUCGGUGAAGCUGCUUACACAUUGAGCAUCAAGAUCUAUAUAGAUAGAUCAAGACGCUUGAUAAGAUUUUUCAAUGAGUACUUACCUUGAUAAAUUUUUGAAAUAGUUCAAAAUGGAACAGUCAAAGAAUGAGUUCUUGCCUGUGAUGCAAAGGUGUGAAGUUUGAGUAAGACUCAAGACCCGACCAUGGCAGAAAAUAUAAAGAGAAUGAAAAGUCAUUCCCUAUGCCUCAGUCAUAGGUUCUAUAAAGUAUGCUAUGCUGUGAACUAGACCUAUUGUAUACCUUGCUCUGUGUUUGGUAAAGGAAUACAAUUUUGAUCUAAUAAGUAGAUCACUGGACAUGGGUCAAGAAUAUCCUUAGUGAGGACUAAGGAGAUGAUUCUCGAUUAUGGAGGUGAUAAAAGAGCCCGUCGUAAAGAGUUACAUCGGUGCAAGCUUUCACACCGAUCCAGAUGACUCUAAGUCUCAAUCUGGAUACAUAUUGUAAGUGGGAGCAAUUAGCUAGAGUAGCUCCGUGCAGAGCAUUGUAGACACAGAAUAUUUGCAAAAUACAUGCGGCUCUGAAUGUGACAGAACCGUUGACUAAGCUUCUCUCACGAGCAAAACAUGAUCAUACCUUUGUACUCUUUGGGUGUUAAUCACAUAGCAAUGUGAACUAGAUUAUUGAAUCUAGUAAACCCUUUGGGUGUUGGUCACAUGAAGAUGUGAACUAUGGGUGUUAAUCAUAUACAGAUAUGAAUAUUGAUGUUAAAUCACAUGGUGAUGUGAACUAGAUUAUUGACUCUAGUGCAAGUGGGAGACUGAAGGAAAUAUGCCCUAGAGGCAAUAAUAAAGUUAUUAUUUAUUUCCUUAUAUCAUGAUAAAUGUUUAUUAUUCAUGCUAGAAUUGUAUUAACCGGAAACAUAAUACAUGUGUGAAUACAUAGACAAACAUAGUGUCACUAGUAUGCCUCUACUUGACUAGCUCGUGAAUCAAAGAUGAUUAAGUUUCCUAGCCAUAGACAUGAGUUGUCAUUUGAUUAACGGGAUCACAUCAUUAGGAGAAUGAUGUGAUUGACAUGACCCAUUCUGUUAGCCUAGCACUUGAUCGUUUAGUAUGUUGCUAUUGCUUUCUUCAUGACUUAUACAUGUUCCUAUAACUAUGAGAUUAUGCAACUCCCGUUUGCCGGAGGAACACUUUGGGUGCUACCAAACGUCACAACGUAACUGGGUGAUUAUAAAGGAGUACUACAGGUGUCUCCAAAGGUACAUGUUGGGUUGGCAUAUUUCGAGAUUAGAUUUUGUCACUCCGAUUGUCGGAGAGGUAUCUCUGGGCCCUCUCGGUAAUGCACAUCACUAUAAGCCUUGCAAGCAAUGUAGCUAAUGAGUUAGUUACGGAAUGAUGCAUUACGUAACGAGUAAAGAGACUUGCCGGUAAUGAGAUUGAACUAGGUAUUGGAUACCGACGAUCGAAUCUCGGGCAAGUAACAUACCGAUGACAAAGGGAACAACGUAUGUUGUUAUGCGGUUUGACCGAUAAAGAUCUUCGUAGAAUAUGUAGGAGCCAAUAUGAGCAUCCAGGUUCCGCUAUUGGUUAUUGACCAAGAAUAGUUCUAGGUCAUGUCUACAUAGUUCUCGAACCUGUAGGGUCCGCACGCUUAAGGUUUCGAUGACAGUUUUAUUAUGAGUUUAUGAGUUUUGAUGUACCGAAGGAGUUCGGAGUCCCGGAUGAGAUCUGGGACAUGACGAGGAGUCUCGAAAUGGUCGAGACGUAAAGAUCGAUAUAUUGGACGACUAUAUUCGGAGUUCGGAAAGGUUCCGAGUGAUUCGGGUAUUUUUCGGAGUACCGGAGAGUUACGGGAAUUCGCCGGGAGUAUAUGGGCCUUAUUGGGCCAUACGGGAAUAGAGGAGAGAGGCCGAAAGAAAGGAGGCGCGCAGCCCCCCUCUGGUCCGAAUUGGACAAGGGGUGCGCCCCCCCUUUCCUUCCUCCUCUCCCCCUCUUUCCCCCUUCUCCUACUCCAACAAGGAAGGAGGGAGUCCUACUCCCGGUGGGAGUAGGACUCCCCUUGGCGUGCCCCUCCUAGGCCGGCCGCCCCCUCCCCCCUUGCUCCUUUAUAUACGGGGGCAGGGGGGCACCUCUAAGGGAGAACAACACAAGUUGAUCUACGGAUCGUUCCUUAGCCGUGUGCGGUGCCCCCUCCACCAUAUUCCACCUCGGUCAUAUCGUCGCGGAGUUUAGGCGAAGCCCUGCGCCGGUAGAACAUCAUCAUCGUCACCACGCCAUCGUGCUGACGGAACUCAUCCCCAAAGCUUUGCUGGAUCGGAGCCCGGGGAUCGUCAUCGAGCUGAACGUGUGCUGAACUCGGAGGUGCCGUACGUUCGGUACUUGGAUCGUUCGGAUCGUGAAGACGUACGACUACAUCAACCGCGUUGUCAUAACGCUUCCGCUAACGGUCUACGAGGGUACGUGGACAUACACUCUCCCCUCUCGUUGCUAUAUCAUCACCAUGAUCUUGCGUGUGCGUAGGAAAUUUUUUGAAAUUACUACGUUCCCAACACAUAUGACCUAAACCAAAAGUCAAACUCGGCCCUACCGAUUCUUUCUAUCCGGCGCCACCGAGUUCAGAUGUCAUAGCCACUGCCACAAACCCUAGGCAAAUCGGUCUCACCGAUAGGGAUCUCGGUCUCACUGAGAUGGGAUUGUAUUCUCUCUGUUUCCCUUCGUAACGUUUCGGUACCACCGAGAUGAGCGAUCGGUCCCACCGAGAUUGCAAUGUAAACUCCCUGUUUCCUUUUCGUAACAUUUCGGUCCCACCGAAAUGAGCGAAUCGGUCCCACCGAGUUUACCUGACCAACUCUCUGGUUAGCUUAUUACUAAAAUCGGUCUCACCGAGUUUGUGUAAUCGGUCUCACCGAGAUUACGUUAUGCCCUAACCCUAACCAUAUCGGUCCUACUGAGUUGCAUGUCGAUCCCACCGAAAAUCCUAACGGUCACUAGAUUUGCUGAAUCGGUCCGACCGAGUUUACCAAUUCGGUCCCACCGAGUUUGGCAAGUUGUGUGUAACGGUUAGAUUUUGUGUGGAGGCUAUAUAUACCCCUCCACCUCCUCUUCAUUCGUGGAGAGAGCCAUCAGAACAAACAUACACUUCCAACUUGCUAUUUCUAAGAGAGAACCAGCUACUCAUGUGUUGAGGCCUAAGAUAUUUCAUUCCUACCAUAUGAAUCUUGAUCUCUAGCCUUCCCCAAGUUGCUUUCCACUCAGAUCUUCUUUCCACCAAAUCCAAAUCCUGUGAGAGAGAGUUGAGUGUUGGGGAGACUAUCAUUUGAAGCACAAGAGCAAGGAGUUCAUCAUCAACACACCAUUUGUUACUUCUUGGAGAGUGGUGUCUCCUAGAUUGGCUAGGUGUCACUUGGGAGCCUCCGACAAGAUUGUGGAGUUGAACCAAGGAGUUUGUAAGGGCAAGGAGAUCGCCUACUUCGUGAAGAUCUACCGCUAGUGAGGCAAGUCCUUCGUGGGCGACGGCCAUGGUGGGAUAGACAAGGUUGCUUCUUCGUGGACCCUUCGUGGGUGGAGCCCUCCAUGGACUCGCGCAACCGUUACCCUUCAUGGGUUGAAGUCUCCAUCAACGUGGAUGUAUGAUAGCACCACCUAUCGGAACCACCACAAAAACAUCUGUGUCUCCAAUUGCGUUUGAAUCCUCCAAACCCUUCCCUUUACAUUCUUGCAAGUUGCAUGCUUUACUUUCCGCUGCUCAUAUACUCUUUGCAUGCUUGCUUGAAUUGUGUUAAGAUUGCUUGACUUGUGCUAAGAUAGCUAAAAUCUGCCAAAGACUAAAAUUGGGAAAAGGACAAGUUUUUAUUUGGUCAAGUAGUCUAAUCACCCCCCCUCUAGACAUACUUUCGAUCCUACAAUGAAGAAAUAAGGAGUGAAAAAAGUCUAAGCUUGGGGAUGCCCAUGGCAGUUCGAGGAAAUAUUCAAGGAGAAAACCAAGCAACUAAGCUUGGGAUGCACCGGAAGGCAUCCCUUCUUUCUUCUAACGACCAUCGGUAAUUUUACUUAGAGCUAUAUUUUUAUUCGUCACAUAUCAUGAGUUUUGCUUGAAGCAUCUUGUAUUAUAUGAGUCUUUGUUUGUUUCGCUUUUUAGUUUGUCGCAAUUAUCCUUGCUGGACACACCUAUUUCAGAGAGCCAUAAUGAUGCCAUGAUUUGUUAGAAUUGGUCUAUGUGCUUCACUUAAAUUUUUUGAGCUAUGAAAUUUCUCUAGUGCUUCACUUGUAUCUUUUUGAGCAUGGUGGUUGUUUAAUUUUCAAAGAAAUGCUCUCAUGCUUCACAUAGAUUAUUUUGGGAGUUAGUAAAAUUUUGAAGAAAUGUCCUCUCAUGCUUCACUUAUAUUGUUUUGAGAGUUAAAUUUUGAAGAAAUAUUUAUGCUCUUGUUCUUCACUUAAAUUUGUUUGAGAGCUUGUUAUAAGCAAUGAUAAUAUAUAAAACUAGUCCCAAAGUGAUGUCUGCUAGAACUACGUCGGUAUUUACCCAAAGAGGAAGGGAUGAUGCAGCACAACGACGGUAGGUAUUGCCCUCAGUGAUGAGACCAAGGUCAUCGAACCAGUAGGAGAACCAAGCAACACUACGUAAACAACACCUGCACACAAAUAACAAAUACUCUCAACCCGACGUGUUAAAGGGGUUGUCAAUCCCUUUCGGGUAACGGCGCCAGAAAUUGGCACGUAGAAGGGAGAAAGUUGUAAUAGAUUGAUAGAUCGAACGCCAAAUAAAAUAAAAUGCAGCAAGGUAUUUUUGUAUUUUUGGUUUAAUAGAUCUGAAAAUAAAAGCAAAGGAAAAUAGAUCACAAAGCAAAUAUAAUAAAGAAGAGACCCGGGGGCCGUAGAUUUCGCUAGUGGCUUCUCUCGAGAAAAAUAGCAAACGGCAGCUGAACAAAUUACUGUUGGAAAAUUUAUAGAACUUCAAAUAAUCAUGAUGAUAUCCAAGCAAUGAUCAUUAUAUAGGCAUCACGUCCAAGAUUAGUAGGCCGACUCCUGCCUGCAUCUACUACUAUUACUCCACACAUCGACCGCUAUCCAGCAUGCAUCUAGUGUAUUAAGUUCAUGGAGAAACGGAGUAAUGCAAUAAGAACGAUGACAUUAUGUAGACAAGAUAUAUUUAUGUAGAAAUAGACCCCAUCUUGUUAUCCUUAAUAGCAACGAUACAUAUGUGUUGGUUCCCCUUCUGUCACUGGGAUCAAGCACCGUAAGAUCGAACCCAUUACAAAGCACCUCUUCCCAUUGCAAGAUAAAUAGAUCAAGUUGGCCAAACAAAACCCAAAUAUCGGAGAAGAAAUAUGAGGUAUAAGCAAUCAUGCAUAUAAGAGACCAAAAAAGACUCAAAUAACUUUCAUGAAUAAAAAGAUAGAUCUGAUCAUAAACUCAAAAUUCAUCGGAUCCCACCAAACACACCGCAAAAAGAGUUACAUCAUAUGGAUGAGACCAUUGUAUUGAGAAUCAAACGAGAGAGAGGAAGCCAUCUAGCUACUAACUACGGACCCGUAGGUCUACAAAGAACAACUCAAGCAUCAUCGGAGAGGCACCAAUGGAAGUGGUAAACAACUCACACAUCAUGGUAGCUUAUGUACCAUGGACGUGAUAACUUAGCCCAAGCUGUUGGGGAAUGUAGUAAUUUCAAAAAAAUUCCUACGCACACGCAGGAUCAUGGUGAUCCAUAGUAACGAGAGGGGAGAGUGUUGUCCAUGUACCCUAGUAGACCGAAAGCGGAAGCGUUAGCACAACGCGGUUGAUGUAGCCGUACGUCUUCACGAUCCGACCGAUCCAAGUACCGAACGUACGGCACCUCCGAGUUCAGCACACAUUCAGUUCGAUGACGUCCCACGAACUCCGAUCCAGCAGAGCUUCACGAGAGAGUUUUGUCAGCACGACGGCAUGAUGACGGUGAUGAUGUUGCUACCAACACAGGGCUUCGCCUAAGCACCACUACGAUAUGAUCGAGGUGGAAUAUGGUGGAGGGGGGCACCGCACACGGUUGGAAUAAAUCAACAGAUCAACUUGUGUGUCUAGAGGUGCCCCCCUGCCCCCGUAUAUAAAGGAGCAAGUGGGGAGGCGGUCGGCCAGGAGGAGGGCGCGCCAAGGGGGGAGUUCUACUCCCACCGGGAGUAGGAAUCCUCCUUUUCCUUGUUGGAGUAGGAGAGGGAAGGAAGGGAGAGAGGAGGAGAAGGAAAAAGGGGGGCGCCGCCCCCCUCCUUGUCCAAUUCGGACUAGAGGGGGAGGGGCGCGUGACUUCCCUGGCCGCCCCUCCUCUUCUCCCACUAAGGCACAUGAGGCCCAAUUAACUCCCCGGGGGGUUCGGUAACCCCCUCGUACUCCGGUUUUUCUCCGAAACCACUCGGAACACUUCCGGUGUCCGAAUAUAGUCGUCCAAUAUAUUGAUCUUUACGUCUCGACCAUUUUGAGACUCCUCGUCAUGUCCGUGAUCAUAUCCGGUACUCCUAACUACCUUCGGUACAUAAAAACACAAAAACUCAUAAUAUCGAUCAUCACCAAACUUUAAGCGUGCGGACCCUAUAGGUUCGAGAACUAUGUAGACAUGACCGAGACACGUCUCCGGUCAAUAACCAAUAGCGGAACCUGGAUGCUCAUAUUAGAUCCCACAUAUUAUAUGAAGAUCUUUAUCGGUCAAACCGCAUAACAACAUACGUUGUUCCCUUUGUCAUUGGUAUGUUACUUGCCCGAGAUUUGAUCGUCGGUAUCUCAAUACCUAGUUCAAUCUCGUUACCGGCAAGUCUCCUUACUCGUUCCGUAAUACAUCAUCUCGCAACUAACUCAUUAGUUACAAUGCUUGCAAGGCUUAUAGUGAUGUGCAUUACUGAGAGGGCCUAGAGAUACCUCUCCGACAAUCGGAGUGACAAAUCCUAAUCUCGAAAUACGCCAACUCAACAAGUACCUUUGGAGACACCUGCAGAGCACCUUUAUAAUCACCCAGUUACGUUGUGACGUUUGGUAGCACACAAAGUGUUCCUCUGGUAAACGGGAGUUGCAUAAUCUCAUAGUCAUAGGAACAUGUAUAAGUUAUGAAGAAAGCAAUAGCAACAUACAAAACGAUCAAGUGCUAAGCUAACGGAAUGGGUCAAGUCAAUCACAUCAUUCUCCUAAUGAUGUGAUCCCGUUAAUCAAAUGACAACUCAUGUCCAUGGCUAGGAAACUCAACCAUCUUCGAUUAACGAGCUAGUCAAGUAGAGGCAUACUAGUGACACUAUGUUUGUCUAUGUAUUCACACAUGUAUCAUGUUUCCGGUUAAUACAAUUCUAGCAUGAAUAAUAAACAUUUAUCAUGAUAUAAGGAAAUAAAUGAUAACUUUAUUAUUGCCUCUAGGGCAUAUUUCCUUCAGUCUCCCAGUUGCACUAGAGUCAAUAAUCUAGAUUACACAGUAAUGAUUCUAACACCCAUGGAGCCUUGGUGUUGAUCAUGUUUUGCUCGUGGAAGAGGCUUAGUCAACGGGUCUGCAACAUUCAGAUCCAUAUGUAUUUUGCAAAUCUCUAUGUCUCCCACCUGGACUUGGUCCCGGAUGGAAUUGAAGCGUCUCUUGAUGUGCUUGGUCCUCUUGUGAAAUCUGGAUUCCUUUGCCAAGGCAAUUGCACCAGUAUUGUCACAAAAGAUUUUAAUUGGACCCAAUGCACUAGGUAUGACACCUAGAUCGUAUAUGAACUCCUUCAUCGAGACUCCUUCAUUUGUUGCUUCCGAAGCAGCUAUGUACUCCGCUUCACACGUAGAUCCCGCCACGAUGCUUUGUUUAGAACUGCACCAACUGACAGCUCCAUCGUUCAAUGUAAACACGUAUCCGGUUUGCGAUUUAGAAUCGUCCGGAUCAGUGUCAAAGCUUGCAUCGACGUAACCAUUUACGACUAGCUCUUUGUCACCUCCAUAAAUGAGAAACAUAUCCUUAGUCCUUUUCAGGUAUUUCAGGAUCUUCUUGAUCGAUGUCCAGUUCCACUCUUGGAUUACUUUGGUACCUCCCUGCUAAACUAAUAGCAAGGCACACAUCAGGUCUGGUACACAACAUUGUGUACAUGAUAGAGCCUAUGGCUGAAGCAUAGGGAACGUCUUUCAAUUUCUCUCUAUCUUCUUCAGUGGUCAGGCAUGGAGUCUUACUCAACUUCACACCUUGUAACACAUGCAAGAACCGUUUCUUUGCCUGAUCCAUUUUGAACUUCUUCAAAACUUUGUCAAGGUAUGUGCUUUGUGGAAGUCCAAUCAAGCGUCUUGAUCUAUCUCUAUAGAUAUUGAUGCCCAAUAUGUAAGCAGCUUCACCGAGGUCCUUCAUUGAAAAACUCUUAUUCAAGUAUCCUUUUAUGCUAUCCAGAAAUUCUAUAUCAUUUCCAAUCAGCAAUAUGUCAUCCACAUAUAAUAUUAGAAAUGCUACAGAGCUCCCACUCACUUUCUUGUAAAUACAGGCUUCUCCAAAAGUCUGUAUAAAACCAUAUGCUUUGAUCACACUAUCAAAAUGUUUAUUCCAACUCCGAGAGGCUUUCACCAGUCCAUAAAUGGAUCGCUGAAGCUUGCACACUUUGUUAGCUCCCCUUGGAUCGACAAAACCUUCUGGUUGCAUCAUAUACAAUUCUUCUUCCAGAAAUCCAUUCAGGAAUGCAGUUUUGACAUCCAUUUGCCAAAUUUCAUAAACAUAAAAUGCGGCAAUUGCUAACAUGAUUCAGACAGACUUAAGCAUCGCUACGGGUGAGAAAGUCUGUGACGCCCCCGAUUUGACCGUACACUAAUCAUACAUGCAAACGUGUACGAUCAAGAUCAGGGACUCACGGGAAGAUAUCACAACACAACUCUACAAUUAAAAUAAGUCAUACAAGCAUCAUAUUACAAGCCAGGGGCCUCGAGGGCUCGAAUACAAGAGCUCGAUCAUAGACGAGUCAGCGGAAGCAACAAUAUCUGAGUACAGAUAUAAGUUAAACAAGUUGCCAUAAGAUGGCUAGCACAAACUGGGAUACAGAUCGAAAGAGGCGCAGGCCUCCUGCCUGGGAUCCUCCUAACUACUCUUGGUCGUCGUCAGCGGGCUGCACGUAGUAGUAGGCACCUCCGGGGUAGUAGACGUCGUCGACGGUGGCGUCUGGCUCCUGGACUCCAGCAUCUGGUUGCGACAACCAGAAAGAAAGGAAAGGGGGAAAAGGGGGGAGAAAGCAACCGUGAGUACUCAUCCAAAGUACUCGCAAGCAAGGAACUACACUACAUAUGCAUAGGUAUAUGUGUAAGGAGGCCAUAUCGGUGGACUGAACUGCAGAAUGCCAGAAUAAGAGGGGGAUAGCUAGUCCUAUCGAAGACUACGCUUCUGGCAGCCUCCGUCUUACAACAUGUAGGAGAGAGUAGAUUGAAGUCCUCCAAAUAGCAUCUCCAAGUAGCAUCUCCAGUAGCAUCGCAUAGCAUAAUCCUACCCGGCAAUCCUCUCCUCGUCGCCCUGCGGAAAAGCGAUCACCGGGUUGUCUGUGGAACUUGGAAGGGUGUGUUUUAUUAAGUAUCCGGUUCUAGUUGUCAUAAGGUCAAGGUACAACUCCAAGUCGUCCUGUUACCGAAGAUCACGGCUAUUCGAAUAGAUUAAACUUCCCUGCAGGGGUGCACCACAUAGCCCAACACGCUCGAUCCCAUUUGGCCGGACACACUUUCCUGGGUCAUGCCCGGCCUCGGAAGAUCAACACGUCGCAGCCCCACCUAAGCAAAACAGAGAGGUCAACACGCCGGUCUAAACCUAAGCGCACAGGGGUCUGGGCCCAUCGCCCAUAGCACACCUGCACGUUGCGUGGGCGGCCGGAAGCGGAACUAGCCCCCUUAAUACAAGAGCAGGCUUACGUUCCAAUCCGGCGCGCGCCGCUCCGUCGCUGACGUCUGAAGUGCUUCGGCUGAUACCACGACGUCGGGAUACCCAUAACUACUCCCACGUAGAUGGUUAGUGCGUAUAGGCUCGUAGCCGACUCAGAUCAAAUACCAAGAUCUCGUUAAGCGUGUUAAGUAUCCGCGAACGCCGAACAGGGCCAGGCCCACCUGCCUCCUAGGUGGUCUCAACCUGCCCUGUCGCUCCGCCACAAAGUAACAGUCGAGGGCCGUCGGGAACCCAGGCCCACCUCUACCGGGAUGGAGCCACCUGUCCUUUCAGCCCCCUCGUCAGAAUCACUUGCGGGUACUCAAUGAGCUGACCCGACUUUAGUCACCAUCUGUAUAGUAUGUAUGUAUGUAUAGUAUAUACCCGUGAUCACCUCCCAAGUGAUCACGGCCCGAUAGUAUAGCAAGGCAGACUGACAAGAAUGUAGGGCCAAUGAUGAUAAACUAGCAUCCUAUACUAAGCAUUUAGGAUUGCAGGUAAGGUAUCAACAGAUGUAGCGACAAUGUCAGGCUAUGCAUCAGAAUAGGAUUAACGAAAGCGGUAACAUGCUACACUACUCUAAUGCAAGCAGUAUAGAGGAGAAUAGGCGAUAUCUGGUGAUCAAAGGGGGGGCUUGCCUGGUUACUCUGGCAAGAGAGAUGGGUCGUCGGUGACGUAGUCGUCCACAGGGGCAUCAGCAUCGUCACGGGGGCUACCGGAGAGAAGAGGGGGGGAGAAACAGUAAAUACAUAGCAAGCAAGUGCAUAACAGGUCAACAAGCAGAGCUAGACGUGUUCUAACGCGGUAUGAGGUGGUACUGGUUAAGGGGGGAAUCAUCCGGGAAAGUAUUCCCGGUGUUUCAUGUUUUCGGGCAGAGGAGCCGGAGGGGGAAAGUUGCGGGUUCGAUAGGUUAGGGGGGUGUGGCGGACGAACGGACUGCGUAUCCGGAUUCGUCUCGUCGUUCUGAGCAACUUUCAUGUUGAAAAUAUUUUAAUCCGAGUUACGGAUUAAAAGAUAUGAUUUUUAAAAGAUUUUAACAAUUUUAGAAUUUAAUUAUUUAUUUAAUUAAUUAAAAAAGUAUUUAUGACGUCAGCAUGAUGUCAUGCUGACGUCAGCAGUCAACAGGGGUUGACUGAGUCAACCCUGACAUGUGGGUCCAGUGGGACCCACCUGUCAUUCUCUAUUUAAAUUAAUUAGGGUUUAGGUUAAUCUACUAGUUACAGUUUAAUUAAACUAAUUAGUUAAUUAGUUUAAUCUAAUUAUGAUUAAUUAACUUAAUUAAUUCCUUAAUUAAUUAAUUAAUUUAAUUAUUAUUUAUUUAUUUAAUAAAUACUAUUUUUAUUUUAUUUUUUUUAAUUCUUUUUUUUUAUAAAACGUUCUCGGGGCUAGGCCCCACAUGUCAUUGGCCCUAGGGGCAUCACGGGGGCCGGGUUACGGGCGCACCCGAACGGGCGAUGGCCCUCGCGGGUGGGGCUUGCUUGCCAGGACGCGGGACGAGGCCGUGGCCACGGCAGGGCUCGCCGGCCGGCCACGGCAGGCGAACGCAGGGGGCGGCCCGGUGCAUCGCCCGGGAGCAAGGCAGCAGCAAGGGGCUGGCCACGGCGCGGGAGCGUGGUGGCAGAGAGGGGCGCGGCCCGACAUCGGUGCGGUGUUGCCCGAGAGGGCCGCCGGCGAGCAGCACAACAGAGGGGGAAGGCGAGGCCAGGGCGCGGCCGGUGGUGCCGGAGCACGACCAGGGGGCUGAGCGGGGUGCACGGCCCAGACCGGCGCGGGGAGGCUGCGGCCCCGGGGCAGCAACAAGUGCGGGCGGCGGCAGCGGUCACGAGCNNNNNNNNNNNNNNNNNNNNNNNNNNNNNNNNNNNNNNNNNNNNNNNNNNNNNNNNNNNNNNNNNNNNNNNNNNNNNNNNNNNNNNNNNNNNNNNNNNNNNNNNNNNNNNNNNNNNNNNNNNNNNNNNNNNNNNNNNNNNNNNNNNNNNNNNNNNNNNNNNNNNNNNNNNNNNNNNNNNNNNNNNNNNNNNNNNNNNNNNNNNNNNNNNNNNNNNNNNNNNNNNNNNNNNNNNNNNNNNNNNNNNNNNNNNNNNNNNNNNNNNNNNNNNNNNNNNNNNNNNNNNNNNNNNNNNNNNNNNNNNNNNNNNNNNNNNNNNNNNNNNNNNNNNNNNNNNNNNNNNNNNNNNNNNNNNNNNNNNNNNNNNNNNNNNNNNNNNNNNNNNNNNNNNNNNNNNNNNNNNNNNNNNNNNNNNNNNNNNNNNNNNNNNNNNNNNNNNNNNNNNNNNNNNNNNNNNNNNNNNNNNNNNNNNNNNNNNNNNNNNNNNNNNNNNNNNNNNNNNNNNNNNNNNNNNNNNNNNNNNNNNNNNNNNNNNNNNNNNNNNNNNNNNNNNNNNNNNNNNNNNNNNNNNNNNNNNNNNNNNNNNNNNNNNNNNNNNNNNNNNNNNNNNNNNNNNNNNNNNNNNNNNNNNNNNNNNNNNNNNNNNNNNNNNNNNNNNNNNNNNNNNNNNNNNNNNNNNNNNNNNNNNNNNNNNNNNNNNNNNNNNNNNNNNNNNNNNNNNNNNNNNNNNNNNNNNNNNNNNNNNNNNNNNNNNNNNNNNNNNNNNNNNNNNNNNNNNNNNNNNNNNNNNNNNNNNNNNNNNNNNNNNNNNNNNNNNNNNNNNNNNNNNNNNNNNNNNNNNNNNNNNNNNNNNNNNNNNNNNNNNNNNNNNNNNNNNNNNNNNNNNNNNNNNNNNNNNNNNNNNNNNNNNNNNNNNNNNNNNNNNNNNNNNNNNNNNNNNNNNNNNNNNNNNNNNNNNNNNNNNNNNNNNNNNNNNNNNNNNNNNNNNNNNNNNNNNNNNNNNNNNNNNNNNNNNNNNNNNNNNNNNNNNNNNNNNNNNNNNNNNNNNNNNNNNNNNNNNNNNNNNNNNNNNNNNNNNNNNNNNNNNNNNNNNNNNNNNNNNNNNNNNNNNNNNNNNNNNNNNNNNNNNNNNNNNNNNNNNNNNNNNNNNNNNNNNNNNNNNNNNNNNNNNNNNNNNNNNNNNNNNNNNNNNNNNNNNNNNNNNNNNNNNNNNNNNNNNNNNNNNNNNNNNNNNNNNNNNNNNNNNNNNNNNNNNNNNNNNNNNNNNNNNNNNNNNNNNNNNNNNNNNNNNNNNNNNNNNNNNNNNNNNNNNNNNNNNNNNNNNNNNNNNNNNNNNNNNNNNNNNNNNNNNNNNNNNNNNNNNNNNNNNNNGGCCCAGUUGGGCCUGUGGUCAGCUGGGCCGAAGCCCGGGGGGGUUUCUCUUCUAUUUUUUUUUAUCUUUUGUUUUUCUGUUUUAUCUCUUUUCUUUUAUUUAUUUUAUUUUCUGUUUUAACUCAUUUUAAAUUAUUUAGACAUUUUAUAAAAAUGGGUUUGUUGCACCAUAAUUACAUUUGUAAUAUUUAGUACAAACCAAACAUUUUUAUUUUAAUUUUUGAAAACUUUUAUUGUUAUCAUUAAUUUGAAUUUGAAUUUAGGACCGGUUUUUGUUCUAACGAUAAAUUAGUAGCAGUAACCGUGGUGACGUGGCACCAUUAGCAUGGGAUCACUGUAGCUUAAUUAUCCGGGCGUUACAAAUCUCCUCCACUACAAGAAAUCUCGUCCCGAGAUUUAAGAGGGGGACUAAGGGGGAAAGGUCUGGUAGCGAAAAACCUGACGAGUCUUCUCGGUCUUGGCUUCCCUUUCGAAGAGGUUGACCCCUUUCGUUGAUGUCUUCAUUUCACUGCUUCAAGUCACCAUGAUCGAUUUGUCAUCCUUUCUUCGGGAUCUCCAUCGUACUUACGAAUAGGUAAGGGGCAGCUCUACAACGAUAGGAUGUUACAAGGGAAAAUCUUCUAGGGGUUUCCCAAGUAUGAACAUAUGAGUAUCUCUCGAGUUGAACAAAUGAAACACAUCGAGAGCAAGUAAGACGGUGCAAUAAGAAGUUUCAAGCGGAUAGGCAAUCGUUCAUUGCCUGAAACAGAGUACGAGAGGGGUUCAGAGCAACGGGAAUAAGUAUUGUGUCCGAUACCAGAAUAGAUCAACAGGUAAGUGGCCCGUGAAUUACAAACAUAGUCAAGCACGAGGAAUAACUCUGACAACAGGGUGUACAGGAGAGUCAGGUUUCGAUCCUGUGGAACUGUGGGUUAUGGGCCCACCAUGUGGGUUAAAAAUAGGAGCGGUGACAUCUCGCACGGUCACAAUAGCAAGGCAGGUCAGAGGGUAGCCCAUCAGCUAUGUCGGCACAAUGUCGGUACCAGGGGCGAGGGACGAAGAGAACCAUUUUCCUGCUCGUUGAACGAGGCGGACCAAUAGGCAAAGUUCUCGUCCAUCGGUGGUGACCGGAAUGCUAUCGACAAUUUCAACAGGGUCUUACUGACAGAGUUGUACAACGAGGUGUUUACAUAAGCAGGAGAAUUACCACUGCUUGAUUAAGUAGUUUACAAGAAAGUUUGAACAAAACAACGGGAAGGAAAAUGUGCUUAAACACGUAUAACAGGGGUAUAUCCUUCCCAAGGACAAGCAAAGCAUGAUAUCCAUGACAGGAUAUUAUGUAGAAAACUCCUUAGGUAGGGGAGAGAAAUUUCAUGACAUUACCCAUACAACGGUGUUCGGAUAAAUGAUAAUUAAAAUUUAGCAUCGUGCUUCAAAUGUUCCUGUUGAAAAUCGGAGUACCAUUGACAUGCUUCGAGAUAGCAUUGACAUGGUCUUCAGGUGAAGAUCAGACUUUGGAAACACGAAGGAUCCAUCAGGAAUAACUUGUAGAAUAAGUCUUACAAUUUCCUCAUGGAUGAAUGGAUAACCUUGCUGAAAAGGAAUCUAUAAUGAUAGGUCCUCCAGCCGGGGGGGGGGGUGCUAGGCAUGACAUCAUGUUACCGGGUCAUCAAAGGAUCAACAUCAUAACUAUUGGAAAAUGUCCCAACCAUCAUAUCUGACCGAGAUUCAGAUCCGAUUGAUGUCAGGAUACCUCAGACUCAGGAUGUCCGAGAAGAAAAGCUGCGGCACAUACCGACGAAAUGACAUUGUAAGAUUCUCGGGAAAUGAACUAUGGGAGCGGGUUUCUGAAACAAUAGUUCAUCAUUAAACCAAGGAGAGGACAAGGAGGUGUCUGGUGAACUCAACGGCAAUUCGCCGAGAUUCCCCAAAGGAUGGAUUUCCACCAUUAAGUGAACAAGGAGAUAACAUUUGCCAAAUCAAAUGAUAUAAGGAAGUAUGCUCGAGGAAAACAUACACAAAUAAACAUUGGUUGAAAUGUGCGCCCGAAAUAUGGGUUGGGUUGCACGACCAAUGUCAGAAUGGUGAUUCAAUUAACGAAGGACUUAGAAUGAACUAUCGCCCAUUCACUUCAAAGCAAUAGGGUUGCUAGGAGUUUAGAAUUCACACGUCAUAGCUCCAAUGUCGGUAUUCCGGUUGAAAACAAUACGAGGACCAAGGAAUGAACGAAGAUGGCAAGAAGUAUUAUGAUAUCAAGAAUUAUUAAGAGGUGGUGAAAUUCUCACCACAUUCUUGACAAAAAGAGAUGGUAAUACUUCCGAGGUAAGGAAGAUCAAUUGCUGGACAGCAAGGAACUCAAGGUAUAACACCAAACAUGAACAAGCUUGUGUUGGUGGGAAGGCAAUAAAGUGGUCGAUGAUAAUACAAUUCAUCGAGGCAAGGAUGGUAUUUCUCAUCAUGAAUCCAAUUGAUAUCCUGGAUGAGCUCAGAAUGUUGACGAUCUCGAAACCUUUGUCGCGAGAGUUCAUGAAGAUGUAAUCGAUCAGCGACGACAUCAAGUCAAAGUAAUGAUGAAGUGAAAGGUUAUAGGAACCAAGGGUACGACACAACUCGAAACCAAGCUUGUUGUUCAAGGCGAAAUGGUAUGACGAUGAGGAUCGACGUAAGGUUAGUUCAUCGUCGAAAAUUGUGCUCCGAGAAGAAGGACCGGGUAGCACAGUUAAAAUCAUCAAGACAAUGAUAUAGCCAAACAGGCUAGGAAUGCUGUGAUCGGGUACAAACUCGUACUUAUAGAAGCUUACUGAAGAGUUGUUGAACCGUAGAGCGGACUCGGUUCAGUUAUCGGGGUCUUUGAGUGUUCAGUAACUCAGGGCCCGUGAAAAAUUGGAAUCAGUGGAAAGGUAGCACUUGAUGAAGAACUCAUAAGAUGUUAUGCAGUUCCAUGAUAAUCUCGAGAUACCAGGGGGGUAAUACUCGACACAAGAUCAAAGUAAAGGUUGGACUGGUGUAUUGAUCCAUAGAAGACAAUUAUUUUGACUUGUCCGAGAAAGGAGAACAAAGAAGAACAAUCAUGGUCGGAACCACGGUUGCAAAAGGCCAGAUCCUAGAUAUAAGAUGAACUUAUACCAAAGGAAUAAUUAUUUUUACGAGCAGCUUCCAUGAUAAGUUAUACAUCGUGUCCCUGGGCAUGAACGCAAGGUUCAAGGUCGACUCCCACUUCUUCAAUGUAUAACCUUCCAUUCACUAUUCGCUUUGAUAAAGGCAUUAGUGUUGAAAGUUUUACCUGGUGAAAUACCAGAUGAGUAUGACUCGUGAAAACUUCCGGGUUCACACCGAUGAGGGAAGGCGUUGGUUCAAUCCCAUCGGGGCUUCUUACGAACAUAUACCAUAAGCUUCAAGAGUAAAUAUCAUCAGCCCGAAAGCAGAGCAUGGUUGACAAAAGGAAAGGAUACAAUUUACCAAAGGUAUUAUGUAUCGGAGAAAGAACUCACAAAGUGAUUAAUUAUGAAGGACACUGUCGGGUAAUAAUCCAACAGUGGAUAUGGCGAUCCAAAAUGGGGCUGAUAUGAGUAUCGAUACCCAAUCAGAGGAAGAAAGAUUGCAAAUGCAUCGGUUUAUAGAACAUCUGAAUAGUUCAACGCUUAAUUAGCGAAGUAAUUAUGAUUUUCAAAUCGAGGGAUCAGGAGCAAAUGCUCUGAUCAAGGAUGGAUAAGCUGAAUAGACUUAGGGGUACAAUCGACGACAAUUGGAUUGGUCGAGAACCAAUUCCAGUUAAAAGAAUGGCAGCUCAGCCGGAAAAGUAACUUAUAAGGAUCAAAGAUGAUUGCGUGUAUUCGCAAACAUAUUGAGUCAACAGACUCAAAAAAGAUAAUGACAAGGGAUGUCAAUAAGACUACGAGAGUUAUGGGAUUAACCAUAAUGCAAGCAAGCAAGAAUUUCAAGAGCCAAAGGCUCCAGAGGAUUUUUGUAAGAUCGAAUAUUAUUUUGAAGACUUUUGUGAAACACAAGAACAACUGGGGAUGAGCGGAUACUCGGAAGGUGCGAGAAGUUAUUCUUAGGGGUAUUCAGGUGGCAAAGAACUGCAAGGCAGUAGGCACAAAAUAUUCUCAGGGUAUCUUGUAAUAACAAGAUCGACUGAGAAUAAAAGUAAGCACGACAGGUGUAAGUAUUUAUCCAUAGGGAUAUUUCAGUGGUAGGGAAUUGCAAAGGCAACGGGCACAAGGUCUCAAGAGAAAAUCGGAGAGUAUCUUCGAAAUCUUCUGGUGCAGUCGGUGAUCAUCUGGACUGAAGGGCCUCUCCGGGAGAAAGUAUUUUCGAGAACCUAAAGUUAGAUUUUUGUAAAAAAAUCGUUUAACCCGAAUAGAAGAGAGUUCAGAAUCCCAGAGUAAAGGUCGAGGAGUAAAAGAUCCUAGUACCACCCAAUGGCGACGUGGGCCCAUGGGCCGCACAGCCAUGUUAGUAAAAGUUUUGCAAUGUCUAGACUUGACUUCGGCCAAGGAGUGUGGAAUGGGGAUUCCUACAGGCAGUCGGCUCUGAUACCAACUUGUGACGCCCCCGAUUUGACCGUACACUAAUCAUACAUGCAAACGUGUACGAUCAAGAUCAGGGACUCACGGGAAGAUAUCACAACACAACUCUACAAUUAAAAUAAGUCAUACAAGCAUCAUAUUACAAGCCAGGGGCCUCGAGGGCUCGAAUACAAGAGCUCGAUCAUAGACGAGUCAGCGGAAGCAACAAUAUCUGAGUACAGAUAUAAGUUAAACAAGUUGCCAUAAGAUGGCUAGCACAAACUGGGAUACAGAUCGAAAGAGGCGCAGGCCUCCUGCCUGGGAUCCUCCUAACUACUCUUGGUCGUCGUCAGCGGGCUGCACGUAGUAGUAGGCACCUCCGGGGUAGUAGACGUCGUCGACGGUGGCGUCUGGCUCCUGGACUCCAGCAUCUGGUUGCGACAACCAGAAAGAAAGGAAAGGGGGAAAAGGGGGGAGAAAGCAACCGUGAGUACUCAUCCAAAGUACUCGCAAGCAAGGAACUACACUACAUAUGCAUAGGUAUAUGUGUAAGGAGGCCAUAUCGGUGGACUGAACUGCAGAAUGCCAGAAUAAGAGGGGGAUAGCUAGUCCUAUCGAAGACUACGCUUCUGGCAGCCUCCGUCUUACAACAUGUAGGAGAGAGUAGAUUGAAGUCCUCCAAAUAGCAUCUCCAAGUAGCAUCUCCAGUAGCAUCGCAUAGCAUAAUCCUACCCGGCAAUCCUCUCCUCGUCGCCCUGCGGAAAAGCGAUCACCGGGUUGUCUGUGGAACUUGGAAGGGUGUGUUUUAUUAAGUAUCCGGUUCUAGUUGUCAUAAGGUCAAGGUACAACUCCAAGUCGUCCUGUUACCGAAGAUCACGGCUAUUCGAAUAGAUUAAACUUCCCUGCAGGGGUGCACCACAUAGCCCAACACGCUCGAUCCCAUUUGGCCGGACACACUUUCCUGGGUCAUGCCCGGCCUCGGAAGAUCAACACGUCGCAGCCCCACCUAGGCAAAACAGAGAGGCCAGCACGCCGGUCUAAACCUAAGCGCACAGGGGUCUGGGCCCAUCGCCCAUAGCACACCUGCACGUUGCGUACGCGGCCGAAAGCGGAACUAACCCCCUUAAUACAAGAGCAGGCUUACGUUCCAAUCCGGCGCACGCCGCUCUGUCGCUGACGUCUGAAGUGCUUCGGCUGAUACCACGACGUCGGGAUACCCAUAACUACUCCCACGUAGAUGGUUAGUGCGUAUAGGCUCGUAGCCAGACUCAGAUCAAAUACCAAGAUCUCGUUAAGCGUGUUAAGUGUCCGCGAACGCCGAACAGGGCCAGGCCCACCUGUCUCCUAGGUGGUCUCAACCUGCCCUGUCGCUCCGCCACAAAGUAACAGUCGAGGGCCGUCGGGAACCCAGGCCCACCUCUACCGGGAUGGAGCCACCUGUCCUUUCAGCCCCCUCGUCAGAAUCACUUGCGGGUACUCAAUGAGCUGACCCGACUUUAGUCACCAUCUGUAUAGUAUGUAUGUAUGUAUAGUAUAUACCCGUGAUCACCUCCCAAGUGAUCACGGCCCGAUAGUAUAGCAAGGCAGACUGACAAGAAUGUAGGGCCAAUGAUGAUAAACUAGCAUCCUAUACUAAGCAUUUAGGAUUGCAGGUAAGGUAUCAACAGAUGUAGCGACAAUGUCAGGCUAUGCAUCAGAAUAGGAUUAACGAAAGCGGUAACAUGCUACACUACUCUAAUGCAAGCAGUAUAGAGGAGAAUAGGCGAUAUCUGGUGAUCAAAGGGGGGGCUUGCCUGGUUGCUCUGGCAAGAGAGAUGGGUCGUCGGUGACGUAGUCGUCCACAGGGGCAUCAGCAUCGUCACGGGGGCUACCGGAGAGAAGAGGGGGGAGAAACAGUAAAUACAUAGCAAGCAAGUGCAUAACAGGUCAACAAGCAGAGCUAGACGUGUUCUAACGCGGUAUGAGGUGGUACUGGUUAAGGGGGGAAUCAUCCGGGAAAGUAUUCCCGGUGUUUCAUGUUUUCGGGCAGAGGAGCCGGAGGGGGAAAGUUGCGGGUUCGAUAGGUUAGGGGGGUGUGGCGGACGAACGGACUGCGUAUCCGGAUUCGUCUCGUCGUUCUGAGCAACUUUCAUGUUGAAAAUAUUUUAAUCCGAGUUACGGAUUAAAAGAUAUGAUUUUUAAAAGAUUUUAACAAUUUUAGAAUUUAAUUAUUUAUUUAAUUAAUUAAAAAAAGUAUUUAUGACGUCAGCAUGAUGUCAUGCUGACGUCAGCAGUCAACAGGGGUUGACUGAGUCAACCCUGACAUGUGGGUCCAGUGGGACCCACCUGUCAUUCUCUAUUUAAAUUAAUUAGGGUUUAGGUUAAUCUAGUUACAGUUUAAUUAAACUAAUUAGUUAAUUAGUUUAAUCUAAUUAUGAUUAAUUAACUUAAUUAAUUCCUUAAUUAAUUAAUUAAUUUAAUUAUUAUUUAUUUAUUUAAUAAAUANNNNNNNNNNNNNNNNNNNNNNNNNNNNNNNNNNNNNNNNNNNNNNNNNNNNNNNNNNNNNNNNNNNNNNNNNNNNNNNNNNNNNNNNNNNNNNNNNNNNNNNNNNNNNNNNNNNNNNNNNNNNNNNNNNNNNNNNNNNNNNNNNNNNNNNNNNNNNNNNNNNNNNNNNNNNNNNNNNNNNNNNNNNNNNNNNNNNNNNNNNNNNNNNNNNNNNNNNNNNNNNNNNNNNNNNNNNNNNNNNNNNNNNNNNNNNNNNNNNNNNNNNNNNNNNNNNNNNNNNNNNNNNNNNNNNNNNNNNNNNNNNNNNNNNNNNNNNNNNNNNNNNNNNNNNNNNNNNNNNNNNNNNNNNNNNNNNNNNNNNNNNNNNNNNNNNNNNNNNNNNNNNNNNNNNNNNNNNNNNNNNNNNNNNNNNNNNNNNNNNNNNNNNNNNNNNNNNNNNNNNNNNNNNNNNNNNNNNNNNNNNNNNNNNNNNNNNNNNNNNNNNNNNNNNNNNNNNNNNNNNNNNNNNNNNNNNNNNNNNNNNNNNNNNNNNNNNNNNNNNNNNNNNNNNNNNNNNNNNNNNNNNNNNNNNNNNNNNNNNNNNNNNNNNNNNNNNNNNNNNNNNNNNNNNNNNNNNNNNNNNNNNNNNNNNNNNNNNNNNNNNNNNNNNNNNNNNNNNNNNNNNNNNNNNNNNNNNNNNNNNNNNNNNNNNNNNNNNNNNNNNNNNNNNNNNNNNNNNNNNNNNNNNNNNNNNNNNNNNNNNNNNNNNNNNNNNNNNNNNNNNNNNNNNNNNNNNNNNNNNNNNNNNNNNNNNNNNNNNNNNNNNNNNNNNNNNNNNNNNNNNNNNNNNNNNNNNNNNNNNNNNNNNNNNNNNNNNNNNNNNNNNNNNNNNNNNNNNNNNNNNNNNNNNNNNNNNNNNNNNNNNNNNNNNNNNNNNNNNNNNNNNNNNNNNNNNNNNNNNNNNNNNNNNNNNNNNNNNNNNNNNNNNNNNNNNNNNNNNNNNNNNNNNNNNNNNNNNNNNNNNNNNNNNNNNNNNNNNNNNNNNNNNNNNNNNNNNNNNNNNNNNNNNNNNNNNNNNNNNNNNNNNNNNNNNNNNNNNNNNNNNNNNNNNNNNNNNNNNNNNNNNNNNNNNNNNNNNNNNNNNNNNNNNNNNNNNNNNNNNNNNNNNNNNNNNNNNNNNNNNNNNNNNNNNNNNNNNNNNNNNNNNNNNNNNNNNNNNNNNNNNNNNNNNNNNNNNNNNNNNNNNNNNUUUUUUUUAUCUUUUGUUUUUCUGUUUUAUCUCUUUUCUUUUAUUUAUUUUAUUUUCUGUUUUAACUCAUUUUAAAUUAUUUAGACAUUUUAUAAAAAUGGGUUUGUUGCACCAUAAUUACAUUUGUAAUAUUUAGUACAAACCAAACAUUUUUAUUUUAAUUUUUGAAAACUUUUAUUGUUAUCAUUAAUUUGAAUUUGAAUUUAGGACCGGUUUUUGUUCUAACGAUAAAUUAGUAGCAGUAACCGUGGUGACGUGGCACCAUUAGCAUGGGAUCACUGUAGCUUAAUUAUCCGGGCGUUACAAAGUCGCAUCGUAGUCCACCUUGAACUUGUCGAAAACCUUUCGCAACAAGUCGAGCUUUAUAGACAGUAACAUUACCACCAGCGUCAGUCUUCUUCUUGAAGAUCCAUUUAUUCUCAAUGGCUUGCCGAUCAUCGGGCAAGUCAACCAAAGUUCACACUUUGUUCUCAUACAUGGAUCCCAUCUCAGAUUGCAUGGCCUCAAGCCAUUUUGCGGAAGCUGGGCUCACCAUCGCUUCUUCAUAGUUCGUAGGUUCGCCUUGGUCAAGUAACAGGACCUCCAGAAUAGGAUUAGCAUACCACUCUGGUGCGGAUCUUACUCUGUUUGACCUACGAGGUGCAGUAGUAACUUGAUUUGAAGUUUCAUGAUCAAUAUCAUUAGCUUCCUCACUAAUUGGUGUAGGUGUCACAGGAACCGGUUUCUGUGAUGAACUACUUUCCAAUAAGGGAGCAGGUACAGUUACCUCAUCAAGUUCUACUUGCCUCCCACUCACUUCUUUCGAGAGAAACUCCUUCUCUAGAAAGGAUCCAAAUUUAGCAACGAAAAUCUUGCCCUCAGAUCUGUGAUAGAAAGUGUACCCAAUAGUCUCUUUUGGAUAUCCUAUGAAGACACAUUUCUCCGAUUUGGGUUCGAGCUUAUCAGGUUGAAGCUUUUUCACAUAAGCAUCGCAGCCCCAAACUUUAAGAAAUGACAACUUCGGUUUCUUGCCAAACCACAGUUCAUAAGGCGUCAUCUCAACGGAUUUCGAUGGUGCCCUAUUUAACUUGAAUGCAGCCAUUUCUAAAGCAUAACCCCAAAACGAUAGCGGUAAAUCAGUACGAGACAUCAUAGAUCGCACCAUAUCUAGUAAAGUACGAUUACGACGUUCAGACACACCAUUACGUUGUGGUGUUCCGGGUGGCGUGAGUUGCGAAACUAUUCUACAUUGUUUCAAAUGUAGACCAAACUCGUAACUCAAAUAUUCUCCUCCACGAUCAGAUCGUAGAAACUUUAUUUUCAUGUUAUGAUGAUUUUCCACUUCACUCUGAAAUUCUUUGAACUUUUUAAAUGUUUCAGACUUAUGUUUCAUUAAGUAGAUAUACCCAUAUCUUCUCAAAUCAUCUGUGAAGGUGAGAAAAUAACGAUACCCGCCGCGGGCCUCAAUAUUCAUCGGACCACAUACAUUAGCAUGUAUGAUUUCCAACAAAUCUGUUGCUCGCUUCAUUGUUCCGAAGAAGGGCCUUUUAGUCAUCUUACCCAUAAGGCAUGGUUCGCAAGUACUAAACGAUCAAGUGCUAAGCUAACGGAAUGGGUCAAGUCAAUCACAUCAUUCUCCUAAUGACGUAAUCCCGUUAAUCAAAUGACAACUCAUGUCCAUUGCUAGGAAACUCAACCAUCUUCGAUUAACGAGCUAGUCAAGUAGAGGCAUACUAGUGACACUAUGUUUGUCUAUGUAUUCACACAUGUAUCAUGUUUCCGGUUAAUACAAUUCUAGCAUGAAUAAUAAACAUUUAUCAUGAUAUAAGGAAAUAAAUAAUAACUUUAUUAUUGCCUCUAGGGCAUAUUUCCUUCACAAGCAUGGUAACAUUUUACCAGGAAAGAAAGUCGUCCAAACAUAUCAACAUGAGAUCUAAUUUCGAAGGUCUCAUCGAGACAAAACUUUUUUUUGAAAACACCUUUUUCAUUGGAGCGAUGGUUCAUGCUAUAAAACAUUUUGAAAUUUUAAUUUCUGAUGGAAUCUUUGUUUAUAUCAUCAUUUCCGUGCUAUAUGCAUGCAUCCAGUUACUAAGGAAGAAUAUUCUGCUCUCUUGUGCAUGCGUUUUUUAAUUGAAAAAAGCCCAAUGCGCAUGUAAUGAGACUCAUUUGGAUUUAUUACUAAAUUCCGACUGAUCGGAAGUUAGUCGCGUCCUUAAGCAAAUAAAUGGGAUUAUGUCUGUUCGGAGACUCUCCGCUUCCUAAGUCCGUUUCGGGAGUUGGUGAAGUUGUAGCUAAAAAUGACAAAGUAAGGAAAAAGAAGCUUCACAGAUUCUGAGAUUUCACGGAGCUGAAGGAGUGCCGAACAGCUCCUAAGGCACCAUCGCUAAGACUAGUCUGGUCAACUGGUCGGAUAAGGGAGAGAGUGACCAGAGAAAUCCCCUGUAGCAUCCAUCCCCCAAAUCACGCGAUGCGACCGAGACCAACACACGCGGAGGCCGCCAUGGCAGAUGCAUCACCGGUGACGGGUGGAGGGAGCAAGCGCUUCCUCGUCUUCCUCUAAGAGCAUCUCCAGCCGUUUGCCCCUGCAGGAGGCGAAAAAAAUGCCUCUGGGGGGCUGCCGACGAGAACUUUGGCCUAGGGGGCCAAAAUUUUCCACUCGUUGCCUCCCCACGAGCAGUGUUGGACUCCCACAAACGAAGCGGCAUUUUGUCGAGCACCUUGACCGCGGCGGCGUCGACGACCGCCAGCCAGCGGAGGAGCGCGAGCGUCGACGGGGAAGGAGACGCGCCUCCACCAUGCCGGGUCUGUCGAGCUGCACGGGCUGGAGACGCGCUGCUCGCCACCUCGCCACGUGCCGGAGAUGGAGAUGCAGCUCGCGGCCGUGCUCGCAACGCUCGCCCUCGGCGAUGCGCUUGUCGUGCUCUUCUUCGGCAAGUGGUGGCAGCCGCUGGCCGACGGUGACAAGCGCGUCAAGGAGCUCGACGACGCCGUCGAGGCCCUGCUGCAGCUGCGGGCCGACGUGCUCAGGCAUUUGGAUGGCGCGCCGGAGCCGGAGCAGCCGCGCGCGUGGCUGCGGCGCGUGCAGGACGCGCAGGACGAGGUGGCGUCCAUCAAGGCGCGGCACGACGCGAUCCAGGAGCAGGGCACGGCGCUGCUGGAGGCCGCCGCUGCUCCUCCAGCCCGAGGAGCUGGAGCUCCCGCCCGAGACGGGGUCCGCCAGGUCGCCCGACCCGGCCGUGGAGGCCGGCAAGCGGUGGCGGGAGGCAGCGAGCGGGGAGGGAGGCAGGCGCGGGGCGGCAAGCGGGGAAGGAGGCGUGGCGACGGCGCGCGGCAGCCAGGGCGAAGCGCGCGACGAGCGGUAGUGGCAGGCGACGGGCUUGAGCUGGGCUGCGCGGUGGCCAGCGAGGGGAGGGCGAGAGGAGGCCGCGGAGGCGCACCCCCUGGCGUGCGGUGGCGAGGAGAAGACGACGGUGGCCGGCCGCGUGAGCUCUCCGCUCCGACCGCGCAGCUGUGUGCGGUAGGUGGGGCAGCGGCUGAGGAAAAGAGACAGGAGAGAGAAAAGAGAAAAGGAGAGGAGAGGAGGGAGAAAGGGGCUGGUAAGUGGGGCAGCGGCUGAAAAAGCAGAUGCCAACGUCCCCGGCUGCCCCCACGGAGCUAGGUGUAGGUGUGGGGUGGGCGUGCCGGCGGUAAAAAUCACGAAAUCCGGCGCAAAAUGAGAUUGUGGGGCCUGGCUGGAAAGUUUAUUGCCUGCCGGUGCUAAAAGAAGGUGCAUGGGAGGGUCCUGGGGCACUAGUGGAGAUGCUGUGAGGAAGAACCACCGAGAAGGCCGGAGCUUGAAGCCGCGCCGUUUGCGAGUCUGAGUGUGGCCAAGUUCCAUGCGCCAGUGCGGCGGCCAUGGCGGCUCGACGGCCGGCUGGGGAGCGGCACGCCGAGAGCCAAGAGGCAGCGGAGAACCCCCGCGCACAGCAAAUGCGGAGGUUUGGCCGGCCGUCGGGGAUGGCGUCGUCGUCAACAACAGCGUGGUUGAAGGAGCCACCCGCGACGGAACCAAAAGCAAAGGAGGACGCGCCAGUCAGCGCCUAAACGCUGCACCACGCGCGCGCGCGAUUCAGCGUCUGCGAGCGGCCGCACACAGCCCGUCCAUCUCAGUUGACGAUCGCGACACGUGGAGGGCAGUUUCAGACGGAGAGAAGAGAAGGGUUUUGUCGCAUCCAAAAUUCAGGGGGAAACGCGCCCAACUAGCCGUCGUCUCCAUUCCCCCUCUCCGCCUCCUCACAUCCAACACGAAUAGAGGAAGGGAAAUCCCUAGACCCUAGGUCGUCGGCGUCCGCCGCCGGCGAGAGCCCGACCACGGGGACGAUUCAAGGGGUGGAGCACAUACAUACGACAAGCUCGACGACACCAACUACCACGCGGACGCGAACCAUCCUAGAGGCGCUCCUGCGACAAGUGCCGUGGAAGGAGACGGGGCAGGACGAUGGGGUAGCGGCGAGCUGCUACAUCUCCUGGGGGGUGGAGAAGGUAAGCUACGCGCGCUCUAACCCUCUCCAAUUUUUUCGGCCUCGGCUCGUGAACAGGGGGCAGGGGGGUUUCGCCGACGCGGCGGUGUCAUCAACGGUGACGAGCGGGGGAGCGGAUAGUUGGGGGGAGUCAGGUGUGUCGCUCGUGCUUCGAGCCCGCGUGCAAUCCCGCAACAUCCACACAUUUUUUUCGUCUCGAAAUUGUAGCGCACCAUUGAACAGAGUGGGAUUCCCCUGUCGAAAUUGUAGGUUCAGAUUUGUGUGUAGCGCAUCACAAUUCAGAGGAAGACAAUUUUAAUGGUUUUUCACAGCAUGUUUGUUAGUAUCCAGGGGGUGGUGGUGGUGGUGGUGUGUCUUAGUUGUAAUUUUUUCAGUUCACAGGGAUGUAGGCAAUUUUGUCAACGUUUUAGGCACUUAUGCAGUAUUAGUGUCUCCAGUAGCAGGCGAGUUUUAUAAACACUUGCCCAGCAUGAGUAGGAAUAGUUUGCAGCAAUGGAGGGGGCAAGUUUGGUUGGAACGUAUUGCUGGUUUGUGUCAUUGUGUGUGUGCUUCAGGUCUGUGUCUUUUAACUAUAGUUGUGUGGUUGCCUGGACUCUUUUUGGCAGUCUGAUGAUAUGCAAAGCCACAACGGCUUGACUGAAUCUUGGGUUACAGCUUCUGGUGAUGAAAUUCCAUGAAGUUCUAACAACUUUUGAUUCAUUUUCAUCAUUUCAUAAUCUGAAUUGUGGGAAUUUGUGUUUCGUCAGGGACAAGCAACUUCAGACUGCUCUUAAAACUAUACAUGUCAUGACAGAUUGAAGCAGUUACGCCGAAGCAAGUCUCUUCUCGACCUACUCAAGUCCAAACCAUUACGCCGAAACUAUGUAGUUAGCUUCAGACUGCUCUUAGAAGUCCAGAAAGAAAAAUGUAGGCAUUUUUGUUCAGCGGUUAGGCACUUUUAUGCACAAUAGUUUUUCUAGUAAGCUGGCAAGUUUUCACAAAACUCGUGUCCAGCAUGAGUAGGCAUUUUUUUGCAGCAAUGGAGGGCAACAUUAGAGAGGCAAGUUUUUUCAUGUGAGCAGGCAUGGGGUUCAGUGUUUAUGUAGGCAGGGUGUUUCAGUUAACUACAUAGUUUUACUUCUCGACUUUUUACAUUUUUUUCUUUUUGUUCUCUCCGCAGGAAAAAUAGUGAAACUAGGCAAGGACAUCUUUUUCCGGCAUCCCUGUCCCGGCAGUUUUUAAGAUGGUGAUGACUUCCCAAAUCAUCACGAUGGCGAGGUACAGAUCACACAUUUCUUUUCUUUUGUGGUUAAGCGAACCUAUCCGGUGUGGAGCNNNNNNNNNNNNNNNNNNNNNNNNNNNNNNNNNNNNNNNNNNNNNNNNNNNNNNNNNNNNNNNNNNNNNNNNNNNNNNNNNNNNNNNNNNNNNNNNNNNNNNNNNNNNNNNNNNNNNNNNNNNNNNNNNNNNNNNNNNNNNNNNNNNNNNNNNNUUUGUGUGUUCUCAUGUGUGUGUUUUCUGUCUUCUUAUCUUAAUAGGGAGCAGUAAGAACAGACACCGCAGCUGGGGACAAUGAUAGGGGAUUACAAGGUCGUAGGUGCACAAGGAGGAAGCAAUUCAGGGAGGAAGGAAUAGAGCAUCGCACGCAAGGCUGGUUAAGCUAAACAAGAGCCUGGAGCAGCCACAAAGGGAUCUAAUUGAAAGUUACUUCUUAGGAGGUAUGCUAAAGAUUGAGGCAAGACAAUGCCAGCAGAUCUCAGCAGGUGGGUGCUACAAAGGUACCACCCAGACAGUGAGUCUAUAGUUGUCCUAGGAAGGGGCGAGAUCCCCGUACCAGCCUAAAGUGUCCACCACACUUUGGGUCUACGCAACUCAGGAGAUGAAGUGUUUUACGGGUGGGAUGCGGAAGCGAUAUCAUUCAUAAACAGCAGGUACGGGUUCAAGAAUGGAAGCGCAACCAAGAUAGUAACUUUCUGCAAGAUGAUUGAAAGACAUGAAAGGAAGAGCAGUGACGAUUUCAUGCACGCCUGGCUAAUUGUGGUAGUUAGUUCUUUCAUGUGCCCUGCAAUGAGCCUUCACGUCAGCCCUGGAUGCUAUCCAAUAGUCGCCGAACUGGAGAAAGUGAAGAGGAAGAAGAAGGCCGUAAAUUGUUGCGUGCACCAUAUGGUGGUAGGUACCUUUUUUUCGGUUUAUUUUUUUCCCUUUUAUAGUACAACAACAGAGAGGCUAACCACUCACAAAUGCGCUGCAAAAAAUGUGUCGUAUGUAGAUUCUUUGGUGGUCGACAUUCAAGUACCAGAUUGUCCAGUCUGGGCAGAAGCAUGGGACAACAAGCGUAUAGGGCAAGUUGCAAGAGCAGACAAAAAAGAGGGGGGAUAAGGCAAGCUGAGUGUGAGCUACUUUUUCCUUACUUUUUCAAGCAUUUUUACUUAAUGACAAGUUGUAGUACAUAUUAUCAUCUCGUCCUUUUUGACCCUCUUUCUCUCACCACACACUAGAUGAAGCCAAGAUUUCGCCUAAACCUCUACGAAGCCACCCCAAAAAGUCGACGGACCCUGUGUCCAACCAAACUCGCCUAUUUCGACAUGCUAGGUCGCCCAACCAUCGACCAAGCCGCCUAAACCUCUACGAAGCCACCCCAAAAACGACGGACCCCGUCCAACCACACUUGCCUAUUCCGGUAUGCUAGGUUGCCCACCCAUCGACCAAGUCGCCUAAACCUCUACGAAGCCACCCCCAAANNNNNNNNNNNNNNNNNNNNNNNNNNNNNNNNNNNNNNNNNNNNNNNNNNNNNNNNNNNNNNNNNNNNNNNNNNNNNNNNNNNNNNNNNNNNNNNNNNNNNNNNNNNNNNNNNNNNNNNNNNNNNNNNNNNNNNNNNNNNNNNNNNNNNNNNNNNNNNNNNNNNNNNNNNNNNNNNNNNNNNNNNNNNNNNNNNNNNNNUACCCACCAAUCAACCAAGUCGCCUAAACCUCUACGAAGCCACCCCAAAAAUUGACGGACCCCGCGUCCAACCAAACUCGCCUAUUCCGGUAUGCUAUGUCACCCACCCAUCGACCAAGUCACCUAAAAGUCUAGAAAGCUAUCCCCAAAAAUUCGACGGACCCCACGUCCACCCAUCGACCAAGUCACCUAAAACUCUAUGAAGUUAACCCAAAAAGUCGACGAACCCCGCGUCCAACCAAGCUCGCCUAUUCCAUUAUGCUAGGUCGCCCGCCCAUCGACCAAGUGGCCUAAAACUCUAUGAAGCCACCCCAAAAAGUCGAUGAACCACGUGUCCAACCAAACUCGCCUAUUCCAGUAUGCUAGGUCGCCUACCCAUCGACCAAGUCGCCUAAAACUGUAUGAAGCCACCCCCAAAAAUUUGACGAACCCCACGUCCAACCAAAGUUGCGUAUUUCGAUAUGCUAGGUCGCCCACCUAUCGACCAACUCGCCUAAAACUCAACGAAGCACCCCCACAAAUCGACAGACCCCACGUCCAACCAAACUCGCCUAUUCCGGUAUGCUAGGUCGCCCACCCAUCGACCAAGUUGCCUAAAACUCUACGAAGCCACCCCUAAAAAGUUGUCGAAGCACAUGUUCAACCAAACUCGUCUAUUCCGGCAUGCUAGGUUGCCCACUGGUCAACCAAAUUUGCCUAAACCACUACGAAGUCACCCCCAAAAAGUCGCCGAAGACCGCGUCCAACCAAACUCGCCUAUUACAUAGGUACUUAGGGAGAGACGGCUUGUCAGUCAGUCCAUGAUUGUGGUCAGCAACAACACCUGUGACCACCUACUUAUUAUUAUUUAGCUUGACUGUCAUUUCUGCUGGACAGUUGGUCUGUUUGAUAAACUCUCUUCUCCUCUUCUUAAGAAGGCUCCCUGGAGAUUUAUAAGAGCUACAACCUGCAUGCGCUUACUGCCAACAUCUUGCCCAUCGCCAGUCCUCAGAAUCUGAACUUAGUUUUUUAAGCAUAGGGGUGUAGACAUCAUCAUUUUGAUUUUAGGCUUCCCAGACUUGUUGCAACAAAAGGUCUGUUUCUCAAGCACAUUAGUGCAGGCAGACCUCCUUGACGUGCUGGCUUUCAUUGAGAACCCAAUUUUCAGAGCGUAGGCAUUGUAGCGCGUCUUAGCACCUGCAAGCGUGUCAAACUCCAUGCCAACAUAAGGUUCCUGUGGGCUAGAUCGCACCUCGUUCACAACAAAACCAAACAAGCCAGCGCCACCUGUAUGAACUUGCCCACCAUGGCUUGGCAGAGUUAAAGCCCUGCUGAACACGGCAGGGGCGGGCGCGACAGUUUCAGUUGCCGUUGCAUCAGACGCACUAAUAGCAGCAGCAGCUGCAACACGGAACUCCACACUGAGGACAUCUUGGACAGGAGCAGAACGCAAAUCUGGCGACUCGCCUACCCCCUCGAUAGAAAUAGGCAUUUUUCCAUCUGGGACUUGUGUACAGUACAGCGGGCCUCCAUCACAAUCAUCGAAGUCAUCAGGGAAUUCAUUGAGAUCCAGCUCAGCCAUCUGAACAUUUUAGAAGAUAGAAAGAAAAUUCUGUGUAAGCGACAUAAUAUAAAUGAAACAACGAAAACAUCUCUUCUUUUGCUCUUUUACUACUAGUCAGGUUGACAUAUCAUGUUUACUACUAGUUGGCAGAAAAAUGGCAGGCAGAAAUUUACAGGAUGCAGGCAUUAUUGUUGGUUGAAUUUACUAGCUCAGACUUCUUUCUGGUUUUUGUUUUGUACUAGCAACUAGUCUCUUGUUAUUUCAUCUCCCCUUUUUUAAUCAGAGAUGUAGGCAAGCUUUUUCUCUAUCUUAUAGCCAUACUGAAGAACUAUACACAGUUUUAUUACAACCAGUUUUUCCUCUCCUUUUGUUCCAGAGGUCAGGUGGAAGACAAUAGGCAAGAUAAUAUACAAGAUGUCCUUCAGGAUCUUUCUCUAGCAUACAGAUUCAACAUGGGGAAGGGGAGGCAAGUACAGGUGGGGACCAGUAGUAUCACACGAGAGGUACAGAGGGGUAGUCCCAGUAGCUCAAGAACUAAACAGGAAUCAUGCCUUCUGUUUUGUUUUUGCCUAAGGAUUAGUAGGGAUAAUAGUAGUUGGAGAGUACUACCUUGGUGUUUUUGCCGGGAGAAAACUGCCCAGUUUCUCGAAAUUUCUUGCCGAUGUUGAUCCACAGUAUUGCCUGAUCAGCAACAAAGAGUUGCAGAAAAAAAUUGUUGCCUUCUUCAGGAUUUGGCUUGGUCCCCCUUUUUUUUUUUUCCUUUUUGUCUUUUUUUGUUUGCAAGGAGCUCCCCCCUGCUAGGCCAGGGCGUGCGGUAGUGGCUGGGAGAAAUAUUGGAAGCAAAGAAAUCUCUUUGAAUGUCUCGUUACUAAAGUGUUUCUGUUAGUGAGCUAUUUAAAAGUGUUUCAGUGGUAGUGAAUUGCAUUAAUCUCUUUGAAGCAAAUGUCUCGUUACUAAAUCUAACUCAUGAUGCUAUGUAUAGUAUCUCCCUCUUUUGGAUAAGCAGCAAAUAAAUGCAGAUGAUUCAGAGUUUCCAAGCAUGUUUGUUUAUCUAGACAGAAACAGGG